rnacentral:lncRNA from 1 species
CGCGGCAGCAGCCGGCGACGAGCGAUGACGACUGCCUGCGGUCGGAGCGCUCGCGAUGAUGGCCGCGCGGGCUCACCCAACAUACAAAACAAUCUCCAUUGCUUCCUUGCUUUCAACAGAGUUUCUCUUUCUUUUGAUCUCGGAAAGGUUUUCAUCUUGUUUUUUCUUUGGAUCGAUUUCUUUUUGUUCGUUUCUCUUGUGCUUGCUACUCCGUAUUUGUAUUCCUGAGCAAAUUAUAAUCGGUUUCUUGGGUUCUAACCAAGUUUUUUCUCAUAAGAUAUUUUUAUUAUCUUUUUUUUCUUGGUUCAGUGCAAUCCUUUUCUUGUUGGAGUGCAUAAAGUAUGCUUCUUUCUUGGAAGUAACUAUUACUGUAGAAAGUAAUCUGCUGUUAUGGAUGUUGAUUUCCUGAAAUUUGACAGAAUUCAGAUUAUUAUUCUGCAGGUUGAGCCUUCGGUUGCUGUCAUCGAAGCGGGAAGGUGGUGGUUUUCAUGCCCGAAGACGGAUGCCCGACGACUAUAGCUUUGUAAUACGGAUUUCGUUAGGAGAUGCGGGCUGUUGCUGUUCUUUCUUGGAUUCGUUGAUGAGUGUCAUCCAGAUUCAGUCUGUUAGUAGAGGAUUCUGGUGUAAUACUGUUAAUUGUAUUUGUAUAUCAGUCAAGGUUUAGGGUCAACUUACGAGUUGACAAGUCGUUUUGAGGUUCAGACUCGAAUUCUAAUCGUGACUAAUCAAACACUAGUCGACAUUAAAUUGUAGUCAGUCGGCCCUAGAGUUAGUACUCAUGGACUGUCUUAACUUAUAAUCCAUGGUCUCGGUGCUCCGUGAGAUGCCGUUGUGAUAUGAUCUGUGAGGUGGCUGUAUACUUAAAUCUCAGCUUAACAUUGUCAAAUACAGUAUGUAAUGUUAAUUAUCUGUUCAUUUACUCUGUUCAUUCCAUUUCAAUAUUUACUCAUGAUAUGGGCAAACGUUUUCAAGUUCUAUGUGUUGUGCUGAAUCAUGAAAUCUGCCUUGAUUAUUUCAAAGUUAUUCUGGAAAUCCGUCUCUAAUUAUUUGAAAAAUAUUCUUUCAGAAUGAACUGUGGCUGAAAUGGGUGGAUUUACAUAUUGAUAUGCGUCUAGAUACCUACGGUUUUGAACUGGUAUAGAAGAAGUCAUAUGUAGUGAAGCCUUUUGGUUUUGGCGUCGGAUUUCUCAGCCUUCUGAUUCGUUUUAUCUCAGCCCUUGAAAGAAGGUCAGCCUUCUGAUUCAUUUUAUCUCAGCUCUUGAAAGAAAGUCAACGCACACACGCCAUCCUUCCUUUGCUUUCAUCAUCCACCUUUGCUUUAGUUCCAUUGGAGCACCAGGAGCUGCCAACGAGAGCUCCAUUGGAGCAUCGAUCUGCUACAUUACAGCUUCAAGCCCGUCGAUGAGACCGGGAGCCGCAGCGAGAGCUCCACUGAAGCACCGAGCACAAAGAGCGUUGCAGCUUACACGACCACCGACGACAACGCAACAUUGGGAGCCCCCGGCAAGAGCUCCAUUUGCAGCCCGCAGCCGGCAAGCUUGACGAGGUAGCGCACUUUUUGUGUUGCGCUGAGAGCGCCGGCGAGCUCGAUUGGAGCACCGAGCGUUGCAUUGCAGCUUCGACAAACAUCGGCGAGCGCUGCAACGCAACACAAGGUGCAGCCGACGAGAACGCCAUUGUUGCACCGCGGCCAACGAGCUUCAUGGGUCACGGCGCCGCUUGUGCUUCACUGCAUCUCCGCCGUCGUUGUAUGAUCCACGGGGACGCAGCUCCCUCCGGCAAUGAGCGGUGCCCUCUUCCGGACUGCCUCUGUUGUGUUGCAGCACCGGCGACGAGCGGUGUCUGUUAGAGUUGUGUCAAAUAUUAUUAUACAAGGUAGUUUACAGUUGGAUUUGAAGUCGUACGGUGUGUAACAAGGUAGGAGCCGUUUUCUUUUAGUACACAUGUACCCUUAUGCCUCUUAUGCAAUGAGUGGGUAGACAUACCCACACACGAUGUAACCUAUGCCAACAUAAUAGCACGGGUAUGCAGGGGAGUCGGCGGCGUGUGCCGGCGCCAGGGCGGCCCGGGUGCGGUAUUGUGACGGUGUCACGGGGAGGAGCGCCCGUAGUCACGCCCCGUGAAUGUAGCCAUAUCGGUGAACCUCGUUAACAAAUCUCGGUGUCAUGCUCUCGUGAUUGCUUGGUCCUCGGUAGAUCGACGGAGAACCUCAGAUUAUUCUAACAAGUGGUGUCAUGAGCAAGGUUCGAUCUGAGGUUGUGGUGUUGAUAUAUAGGAAACAGUGAAAAGAUUCAUCGAAAUUGAUCAUGUAGAAGUACGUUGUGAAUCGGCGGCUGCGAGGAAGAUUGAUUAUCAGUGUGGUUCUAUUUGUGUUUCGAGAAGCAAUCAGAGGCAGCAGGUGGAGUCAUAAGCGGUGUGCAAGGACUCGAGGCUGUCUCAGCGAGAAGCGAUGGGCAACGGUGGCGGUAGCAGGGGCAGGCAAUCCUAGUCAGUGCAUGGGACGAGCAAACAUCGGCAGUUGGCGUCCACAAGAUCGUUGCUCGAUCGAAGCAGUGGCGGCAAUGCGGGCGAUCAACGGGAGCGCUAGGGCACGCACGCAUAAAGUCCUGAUCAGUUUACGUUUGGCAUGUAGCGUCGUUGGGUGGCGCACGACCCAAUAAGCGGCUGGGUUCUUCGAGGCCCAAGGCAUAGGGGCGACAGUCCAAGCAGAUUGUAGACCUGGUUCUGUGCGGGGAGCUGCUGAAUGUGAGAUUUUGAUAAAGGGAAAAGGCAUGAGAAAACACCAUGAUGUGUGCAUCGAUGAGGAGCAGGAAAGAGAGCAAAUCAAGUCUACAAUAGCUGGGUGGGGUGGACAGGAAAUUCUUUACACUGAAGAGGCUACAAGGGAUGUUGUUUUGACUUUUUUUUUGCUUUUUACAUGGGUUGUACUCCCUCCGUUUCUAAAUAUAAGUCUUUUUAGAGAUUUCAUUAAAAGACUACAUACGAAGCAAAAUGAAUGAAUCUAUAUUCUAACGUAUGUUUAUAUACAUCCGUAUGUAGUUUUCUAGUGAAAACUCUAAAAAGACUUAUAUUUAAAAACAGAGGGAGUACGUGAUGGCAGCAUGAAGGUGUCGAGACGCGGCGCGCAUGUUCAUAUAAGGUCAACAUGAGUUGGCGGGUGGAUCCAUGGUUAUUUUUUUGGGUCUGAUGGCUACAUGUUUUCUCAAGUAUUGCAUCAAGGAUGUGAUCUGUUUGUGCGAAGGGUUGUUUUUUUUCUGUAGCGGAGUGCCAGGUUGAUGAAGAUGGACGUGCGCGGCAAGGAUGCCGACGUGCGUAUAAGGCUCGAAGAAGUUUGGAGCAUGUCGUGGCAUGAUCAUGCAUACACAAGGGCGUUAAAGCAAUGACGAAGAUGUGUGAGGCAGACAUGACGCUAGGUGGAGCAUGGUUGCAGUCGGAUAAUGUCGGUUGGGUCGGACUGGACUGUCUGAUGGAUCGACGAGGAUGUCGGUCAAAGCAGAAGACGGUGGUGAUUUCAACAACGAUGACAUAGGAGCGUGAUGCUGAUGGUGACCGACAUCUAAAGUGUGAAAACACGUGGUGCAGGGCCGAGGGCUUGUGUGACUUCAACAAGACAAUGGCGCAGGGUUGACUCAAGGCAGUGCACACACGAGAGCUUGAAGUCGACAGGGCACGGGGUAGCAGGGGCCAGCUACAUGGAGUCAUGUUGAAGGAGGAGUUGGGGUUUGGUGAAAGACUUCACUAUGUGCUGGUGGAGGGGCUACGGUGUAAGACGUCAAAGAAUCGAGCCUAUUUCAGCAGGAUAGCGAGAGAAACGUGGAUCAGACUGGGUACUAGUGGUCUGAUAGAGACGUGAUACUCGACAUCGGUCGGUGAUGGUCGGUGGUUUUCUGCAGUGGGGGUCGAGUAGCGUGGGUUCGCGACCUUGGGAGACUUGGCUAGGACAACAGAGGCUCGCCCCGGUGAUAGCGGCGAGGCGUGCGGUAAGCACGGGACACAGCGACAGACCAAGGCACUAACAGUGAGACAUGUGGUCAUACAAAGUGUGUAGGGGUGCUGAAGCAGUGUUGACGAAUACCAGAUUCAAAUUGGUGACUGGGUUUAUCGAUGCUAGUUGAUAGACGGGGGUUGACCAUGAAGAAUCUAAGAAAGUGACGGAAAGUCUGAAAUCAUCAAAAGCAUAGAGAGUACAUGGCCGUAUAUUCUGUGGUGUUCAUUACACAUGGCAAAGUGCGGAUGACAAGUACAGAAGAAGGCGGACUGCUAUAGUUGUGGGACAUGUGAGAGACUAUCCGGGGAAAGGGUGAGAUAACUCCGAAUUUCACUCGGGGUGACACAUGAUGACUGUGAAAUUCCUUCAAGUUUCAGACGGACGGUCAAGGAAGAGAGAGGUUGUUGAGUUCAGGUAACUCUUAUAUGUGAAAUUCAAUAUGUGAGUUGUUCACUUUCACGUAGAUGAGUGAUCAUUGUGUGAUGGCGUUGAGCGGAUACUUCUGAAGUUGGGAGCACAAAGUAGAGUAAUGAAGAACUUAUUUUUUUCUCGAGUGUUGACUGUGAAGAAGACGAGAAGGAACUAAAGUUGAAGGUGGAGUCACAUAAAGUCUGGGAGUAGCAACGGUGCUCAUGGUAUAAUCUCAAGUCCAAUGUACAUGGAGGUUCGACGCAUGGAUGAAUCCAAGGUGGUGGAGAAUAUUCGCCAAUGUGAAGUUUGUUAGAGUUGUGUCGAAUAUUAUUGUACAAGGUAGGUUACAGUUAGACUUGGAGUUGUACGGUGUGUAGACAAGGUAUGAGUUGUGUCCUUUUAGGACACAUGUACCCUUAUGCCUCUUAUAUAAUGAAAGGUUAGACACACGAUGUAACUUACGCCAACAUAAUAGCACAGGUAUGUAGGGGAGUCGGCAGCGUGUACCGGUGCCCGGGCGGUCAGGGUGCGGUAUUGUGACGGUGUCACGGGGACGAGCGCUCGUAAUCAGGCUUCGCGGUGUCGUGCUCUCGUGAUUGCUUGAUCCUCGGUAGAUCGACGGGGAGCAUCGGAUUAUUCUAACUGCACCAGCCUCUAGCCUCCUCUUUUCGUGUUGCGGUGUGCUAGCCUCUGGUCCAUUCUCUCGCAUGUGUCACGAAAGGGGAAAAGGAGAAAAAAGAGUGGGGGAGAAUGUGCGGAGGCAAAGAGAUAAGAUUGGAUGGGACUGGUUGCGAGCGGUGUGUGGCCUAAAAACAUGUCGCAAGUUCCAAUUUUCCUUUAUACUGGACCGUUCUCGACUCGGGAUGCAGAAUACAUGGCAUAAAUUCACAUGAGGUUAAUCGUUUUGGUCACAACAACACGACGCAGAAUACACAACAUAAAUUCACAUGAGAUCAAUCGUGUUGGUCACAACAGCACAAAUAGCUAGUAUGGAUCCCACUUCUGUAAUUUACUAAAAGAUACUCCCUCCGUUUUUAAAUAUAAGUCUUUAAGAGAUUUCAUUAGGGUCUACAUACGGAACAAAAUGAGUGAAUCUACUCUAAAAUAUGUCUAUAUACAUCCGUAUGUAGUCCAUUAAUGAAACCUUUCGAAAGACUUAUAUUUAGGAACGGAGGGAGUACAUGUUACAAAAACAAUAAACACUUGGCUUGCUAACAUACAUUCAACUGGACAGAUAAAGUUUGAGCUAUCUGCUCUUGCUGCAAGGUAUAACCAACACUCAACCUUUCUAAUUUACAAUGUUCCUCAAAGGGAAAAUGCAACUGAUGUGCCAGGGUUAGUGAAUGCUAUGUUAGAUUUAGCCUAGAAGCAAGAUACAUACACGCCUUUUCCUGUUUAUUUGAUUCCUCUUUCAGAUACUGAAAAUCCUCUAAACAUAUGUGCCUUCAUCCCAAUCGAAGGCACCUUCACUAGCCACUGCUUGCCCUAUCAUCUGGAGCACAUCAUCAAAUACAUACACCUCCCUCCUGUCUAUUUGCUUCCUCUUUCAGAUCUUGAAGAUCUUCUAUACCUAUGUGCCUUCAGUCGGAUCGAAGGCACCUUCCUAGCCAAUGCUUGCCAGAUCAUCUGGACCGCAUCAUCCUUAUGAGAUGGGAACUGGUACUCAAAAUGUUUAUCCACUUCUUUGAGCCUCUUCCACAUCCUUGUCCAUCGAUGCUUGUUUAUGCCUUUAAUUAGUCUCAUCAAGUAACCCUUUUUAAUAGCAUCAGACGAACGAACAAAGAUGGAGAACUUUGAAUAAUCUAGGAUAUCCUCGUAAGGGAGCUCAAUGUCGUCGCUUAUGAUAACAGGGACACAGUGGCUUACUAUGGCGUCAAAGAGACGAUUGGAAGAAGGGGUAUCCCCAGCAAUGUUUAGGCAAAACUUUGAUGAGUGCAUUCCCUGGCUGGCUUUGCUGACACCAUGGUCCUGGACACUUCCAAAGGAAAAGAAAACAUCCUUCUCGUCUUUGAGCAUAUUAUAUAGUUCCUGCCGAAUGUUUCCUCCCUGUAAAAGAAAAUAUGAUUGUGAUAUAUUAUAGCACCAAACACAUACAGACAUAAUGGGGUUUAAACCUGCAACAUGAUAUUCAUAUUUCUACAAUAUAUUUCAUAUAUCUACCCGCGAUCAAAGAGAUACACGAGUUGUGUUCCGAUUCAUGCAUAAGGCUGAACAUUUUCUGAGUACAUUUAAUUCAUCUCAACCAAGGUGAGGGGAACCACCAUGAUGGUGUUAAGUUUUAGAUGGCACCAAGUUAUCCAAUUUAUCUCAUCGUGUGUUCAGAAGCACUAUCUGGUGCAUAAUGUACAUGGUUUAAUAAUACUAUUUGCUACCAUCAACCACAACUCAAAUUAUGGCAAGUUUGUAGUAGCACUAUAGCAGUAACUUGUGCAGUUAAAACUGAAAACACAUCAAAGCUGGCAUUCAGAAAUCUUACGCUCUGAGCUAAGAAUACCUAAUGAUUGAUCCACAAUCAUAUAACCAAGUCUUAAACUAAUGAUUCAAUUACGACAAUUUAACAAAUUCUGAAUUAUGUCUCUCAAUACAGAUCUCAUCAAUUCUGUUCAUCAGCUAAACCUAAUUGGCCAAAUACCAGCAGGCUUCUGCGAGAAUUUAAGCAGUGCCAUGACAGUAUGUCACGAUUGGCGUCUCAUAGUCAUAGAUUGUACAUAAUUUAAGUUUUCAGUGUGCGGAACCGGAUUAGUAAGCACAAUUAUUACCUCCUUCCUGUAAAUGGCUCCCCGGAAGUAUAACAAUGUUGGCCGAUCAUCAAACCCGGCCGUGUCAUUCACAAAUGUCUUCGCCAUAUGUCGAUAGGGCGCAAUGAGAUCCUUCUCCAAGCUGGCAACCCUGGGGUGGUACCUCCCAAAGUCAGACAGCACGAACACUGCUGGGAACAGCGCCGACCGGGCGUGGAGCAAGCUGUUGGGGUGGUGCGCGACGACGACAUGGUCGGUACCCCCGGACCUCUUCCAUUCCGGCUGCGCCACCAGAAACCUGACGAGCUUCUCCUGUAGGUACAUGUCUCUGCUUACCUUCUCUGGCGGCACGGCCUUGGAGUGGCGGUUGUAGCUGAGUGAUGCGAAGAAGGGGACGAAGAUCACGUCCGCAUCACGAGAGUCGGCAACCCUCACCGCCGGACCACACGGUGCCCCUGACGAGGAUGCCAGGAGGUCCAGCGUGAGCCAGUACUCCACGCUGUGCUGCUGGUUGAGCCCACCGGGGUAGCGCGGGACUGCGCCGCCCCUAACGUCAGGCCAGACGCCGCCGCCGUCCCCGGGGGGUGGCGCCCAGCCGAGCAGCCCGAAGUGGAACUCCAGCGGCAUGUCGUAAACGAACACCCUGACAGCGGCGUUGCGGGGGUCGCAUCUCCCAGGUCCAGCAGCAGCCGCCGAGCCGGAGCCGGGGUCGUCGGGGCGGCCAUUCUCGUCAAGAAAGGAGAGCUCUUGACCCUUAGCAGCGGAUGUUACACGCACACGGACAGGGAUGGCCGAGAAGUCGGCGGGGGUUGCCGGGACGGGGAGGCCGGUGUCUGCUGGGCGCCAGCGGCUGGCGCCGGCGGCGGCGAAGAGGAAGAUCGUGGAGGCGACUAGGACGGUGGCCGCCGCCAGCGGCAGGAGGAGAGCGCGAGCACGGGGCGGCGCCAUGGAGCGCGAGGCUCAUGGCCGGAGUGGUGCACGGGGGAGCAUCGCGAAUCGUCGAUCUGGUGGAUUGGAAGGAAGGGGAAGCAAAGGUUGGGUUUUUCCGUGUGGUCGGAGUUUGGUUGGUUCUGGGUGGGUUAGCUGGCUGGUGUGUGCUUUCCGGACUGGGCCUUGAAAAUGACGUGAGCAUGCGCUGCUGGACUGGACUCUCCAGUAGAUGAAGCAGCUAGUUUCAUUUUUUUCUUGAGGUAAUAGCACUAGGAUCCUACAACUUGCAUACAAUGUGAUGGUUUGAUCCUAAAACUUGUAAAGUGACCCUAUUUGAUCCUACAACUUGUUUCUCUUGUGAAGUUUUAGUCCACAACGAAUCACAGCGCGCAGAGUGGGCAGGGUUGGUGGUUUUGCAAAGUGGCCCUUCCAUUUGUCAUUUAUUAAUCAACACGUUAGUGAAGUUCUGCAUUUGCCUACCUUUUUCUCAUUGCUUCAUGCCAUUAGUAAAUUUUGCACCUUGCAGUUAGCUCUUCAUAGCUGCAGAAUCGGAGAGAGUUCCGUCCAAAAGUUUGCAAAUUUUAUAUUGUGUCAUGGUUAUAUUUUGCCUCUGUUCUAUGUUCUCUUUUCUGCUUGUCAUCUUGUUUACAGAAUCUUUGCAAGUGCUUCCUUGUGUUGGCGUUGUUGUGCUUUGGUUGUCAGACUGCCGCUGUUUAUGAUUUGGUAACAGCUUUCCUUGUCGUUGCCCCUCGUAUUUUCUGUUGUUUCCAUACAGGUUAAUCAGGAGUGCAUAUACAAAGAAGAGUACUGUUUUCAUUGUAAGACAAAUUUAAAGACCAAUUGCAGGUCUUAGCAAAAGCAGAGCCUAAGCGAUCAGACCAAUGACUGUUGUAGAUAUUUUUUUAGAAAUAUGAUAGACAUAUUGUCCUGAGGGUUUAUGAUAUCAGCUAUUGCUAUAUCUUUAUAGGCUACUUUCAAACUGAAAUCGAGAUUGUUACCUGCAGAUACUAAUUGCCAUCUGUAACCCAGUUUGAGAAGUAGAGAUCAUUUCACGUGCAGAUAUCGAUCCCAACUUAUUUUGAACAUUUGAUUAGUUGAGUUGGGAGGUAGCCAUGUGCCAGUUAUGUCUGAUUAACUGUGCGUUCGACUUAUGUAAUCAUCUCUGAUCCCUGCUUUCGAUGUCUGAAUCCCUGUGUUCCACCACAGUUGUGACGACGACCGUCAGGCGUCACUGGCCAAUGAAGUUCUGCACAUUAUCAAUGGUGCUCUGUUAUGGCGAUGCGGGUCUUGGCAGGAAAUUUCCUUGCAGCUCUUUGAUACUGUUUGCUCUAUGCAUUCUUGUUCUUUUGGUUUAUGCUUCCCUGUUGUCGAAGCUGCAAUAUGUAGACUUGAAAGCUUUGCAACAAAAAUUUCCAUAUAUUUGAAUGAUGUUAGUUUAAUAUUCGAUGAUGAACGUGAUGCUGCUAUUGUUGUUGUGAAUUUGGAUUACUACAUGGCCAAGGCAUCUAUUUCGGUUCCGUUAGUCAAGUCAAAUUUAAUGAGCAAUUGGAGGUCUUAGCAAAAGCAGAGCCUAAGCGAUCAGACCAAAGGAGGAAGGAGGAUUUGGAAGGUAGGAAAUCAUAGCAACCAGCAAGAAAAAAUAUGUCUUAGUUUUUCAUGGCCUGUCUAACUACCUUGAAAUUGUCAUAUGUCACUGGCAAAUUAAACUGUGCACAUUAUCAAUGGUGCUCUGUUUUGAUAGGUGAGGAGACGAUAAAGUAUACAUGCACGCACGCAUCAAAUGAGACGAAAUAUUUCAAGACUGCUGUCUGCUUUAAGAUGCACUGAUCGGUACUGUUCAUGGAGCCCGACGGUUCGCAGAGGGACGAGGUGUGGAAGAUCAAGCCUUACCCGCGGAAAGGCGACGAGUUUUGCCUCAGCCACAUCACGGAGUUGACGGUGAAGUCGAGCAAGGUGGCCGCCGAGUGCACCAGGUACCACGACGUGCCCCUGGUGAUCUUCUCGCUCACCGGCUACACGGGGAACCUCUUCCACGACUUCACCGACGUGAUCGUGCCGCUCUUCACCACGGCCAGCCAGUUCAACGAUGAGGUCCAGUUCCUCAUCACGGACAUGGCGCUCUGGUGGACCAUCAAGUACCACACCCUGCUCCAGAAGCUGUCCAAGUACCCCUUGAUCGACUUCAGCAAGGACGACCAGGUGCACUGCUUCAACUACACCAUAGUCGGCACGCACGCCUACAUGGAGUUCACCAUCGAUGCCUCCAAGUCACCGCACAACGUCACCAUGGUCGAUUUCAACCGGUUCAUGUGCGCCGCCUACUCGCCGCCCAAGGAAACCGCGGUGGCGCUCGGGGAGAGCCCCAAGGUCAAGCCCAGGCUGCUCAUCAUCAAGAGGCACCGCACCAAGAUGUUCCUCAACCUGGAGGAGAUCAUCGCCAUGACUGAGGAGCUUUAAUUAAUUCAGGUGCUAUUUGAAACGGCCUGGGUGUUGAUUAAUAAGUGAUAAAUGGAAGGGCCACUUUGCAAAACCACCAACCCUGCCCCCACUCUGUCCACUUGGCGCGAUGUGAUUUGCUGUGGACUAAAACUGCACAAGAGAAGCAAGUUGUAGGAUCAAAUAGGGUCACUUUGCAAGUUUUGGGAUCAAACCAUCACAUUGUGUGCAAGUUGUAGGAUCCCUGUGUUGGGGAAUGUCGCAUGGGAAACAAAAAAAUUCCUGCGCACACGAAGUCCUAUCAUGGUGAUGUCAAUCUACGAGAGGGGAUUUCCGAUCUACGUACCCUUGUAGAUCGCACAGCAGAAGCGUUAAGAAGCGCGGUUGAUGUAGUGGAACGUCCUCACGUCCCUCGAUCCGCCCCGCGAACCGUCCCAUGAACCGUCCCGCGAUCCGUCCCACGAUCCGCUCCGAUCUAGUGCCGAACGGACGGCACCUCCGCGUUCAGCACACGUACAGCUCGACGAUGAUCUCGGCCUUCUUGAUCCAGCAAGAGAGACGGAGAGGUAGAUGAGUUCUCCGGCAGCGUGAUGGUGCUCCGGAGGUUGGUGGUGAUCUAAUCUCAGCAGGGCUCCGCCCGAGCUCCGUAGAAACGCGAUCUAGAGGUAAAACCAUGGAUGUAUGUGGUCGGGCUGCCGUGGCAAAAGUUUUCUCAAAUCAGCCCUAAUAACUCCAUAUAUAUAGGAGGAGGGGAGGGGAGGCUUGCCUUGAGGCUCAAGGAGCCCCAAGGGCUGCGCCACCAAGGGGAGGAGGAGUCCUCCUCCAAUCCUAGUCCAACUAGGAUUGGAAGGUGGAGUCCUUCUCUUCCUUCCCACCUCCUUUUUUUUNNNNNNNNNNNNNNNNNNNNNNNNNNNNNNNNNNNNNNNNNNNNNNNNNNNNNNNNNNNNNNNNNNNNNNNNNNNNNNNNNNNNNNNNNNNNNNNNNNNNNNNNNNNNNNNNNNNNNNNNNNNNNNNNNNNNNNNNNNNNNNNNNNNNNNNNNNNNNNNNNNNNNNNNNNNNNNNNNNNNNNNNNNNNNNNNNNNNNNNNNNNNNNNNNNNNNNNNNNNNNNNNNNNNNNNNNNNNNNNNNNNNNNNNNNNNNNNNNNNNNNNUCCCACCUCCUUUUUUUUGUCUUUUCUCUUUGAUUUUCUAUCUAUGGCGCAUAGGGCCUUCUUGGGCUGUCCCACCAGCCCACCAAGGGCUGGUGCGCCACCCCCAAGGCCUAUGGGCUUCCCCGGGGUGGGCUGCCCCCCGGUGAACAUCCGGAACCUAUUCGUCAUUCCCGAUACAUUCCCGGUAACUCCGGAAACCUUCCGGUAAUCAAAUGAGGUCAUCCUAUAUAUCAAUCUUCGUUUCCGGACCAUUCCGGAAACCCUCGUGACGUCCGUGAUCUCAUCCGGGACUCUGAACAACAUUCGGUAACCAACCAUAUAACUCAAAUAUGCAUAAAACAACGUCGAACCUUAAGUGUGCAGACCCUGCGGGUUCGAGAACUAUGUAGACAUGACGCGAGUGACUCCUUGGUCAAUAUCCAAUAGCGGGACCUGGAUGCCCAUAUUGGAUCCUACAUAUUCUACGAAGAUAUUAUCAUUUGAACCUCAGUGCCAAGGAUUCAUAUAAUCCCGUAUGUCAUUCCCUUUGUCCUUGGGUAUGUUACUUGCCCGAGAUUCGAUCGUCAGUAUCCGCAUACCUAUUUCAAUCUCGUUUACCGGCAAGUCUCUUUACUCGUUCCGUAAUACAAGAUCCCGCAACUUACACUAAGUCACAUUGCUUGCAAGGCUUGUGUGUGAUGUCGUAUUACCGAGUGGGCCCCGAGAUACCUCUCCGUCAUACGGAGUGACAAAUCCCAGUCUUGAUCCAUACUAACUCAACGAACACCUUCGGAGAUACCAGUAGAGCAUCUUUAUAGUCACCCAGUUAUGUUGCAACGUUUGAUACACAUAAAGCAUUCCUUCGGUGUCAGUGAGUUAUAUGAUCUCAUGGUCAUAGGAACAAAUACUUGACACGCAGAAAACAGUAGCAACAAAAUGACACGAUCAACAUGGUACGUCUAUUAGUUUGGGUCUAGUCCAUCACAUGAUUCUCCUAAUGAUGUGAUCCCGUUAUCAAGUAACAACACUUGCCUAUGGCUAGGAAACCUUGACCAUCUUUGAUCAACGAGCUAGUNNNNNNNNNNNNNNNNNNNNNNNNNNNNNNNNNNNNNNNNNNNNNNNNNNNNNNNNNNNNNNNNNNNNNNNNNNNNNNNNNNNNNNNNNNNNNNNNNNNNNNNNNNNNNNNNNNNNNNNNNNNNNNNNNNNNNNNNNNNNNNNNNNNNNNNNNNNNNNNNNNNNNNNNNNNNNNNNNNNNNNNNNNNNNNNNNNNNNNNNNNNNNNNNNNNNNNNNNNNNNNNNNNNNNNNNNNNNNNNNNNNNNNNNNNNNNNNNNNNNNNNNNNNNNNNNNNNNNNNNNNNNNNNNNNNNNNNNNNNNNNNNNNNNNNNNNNNNNNNNNNNNNNNNNNNNNNNNNNNNNNNNNNNNNNNNNNNNNNNNNNNNNNNNNNNNNNNNNNNNNNNNNNNNUUGAUCAACGAGCUAGUCAACUAGAGGCUUACUAGGGACAGUGUUUUGUCUAUGUAUCCACACAAGUAUUGUGUUUCCAAUCAAUACAAUUAUAGCAUGGAUAAUAAACGAUUAUCAUGAANCGAUUAUCAUGAACAAAGAAAUAUAAUAAUAACUAAUUAUUAUUGCCUCUAGGGCAUAUUUCCAAUAGUCUCCCACUUGCACUAGAGUCAUUAAUCUAGUUCACAUCACCAUGUGAUUUCAACGAAUCCAACACCCAUAUAGUUCUGGGGUCUGAUCACGUCUUGCUCGUGAGAGAGGUUUUAGUCAAUGGUUCUGAAACUUUCAGAUCCGUGCGUUCUUUACAAAUCUUUAUGUCAUCUUAUAGAUGUUGCUACUACGUGCUAUUCAGAAAUGCUCCAAAUAUCUACUCUACUAUACGAAUCCGUUUCACUACUCAUAGUUAUUCAGAUUAGUGUCAAAGCUUGCAUCAACAUAACCCUUUACGACGAACUCUUUAACCACCUCCAUAAUCGAGAAAAAUUCCUUAGUCUAUUUAGUUACUAAGGAUAACUUUGACCGUUGAUCAGUGAUUCAAUCCUGGAUCACUCUGUGUACCUCUUAACAGACUUGCUGCAAGGCACACAUCAGGUGCGGUACUCAGCAUGGCAUACUUUAGAGUCUACGGCUAAGGCAUAGAAGACGACCUUCAUCUAUUCUCUUUAUUCUGCCGUGGUCGGGUUUUGAGUCUUACUCAAAUUCACACCUUACAACGCAACCAAGAACUCCUUCUUUGCUGAUCUAUUUUGAACUCCUUCAAAAACUUGUCAAGGCAUGCAUCUUGUUGAAACUUCCAUUAAAUGCUUUUGAUCUAUCUCCAUAGAUCUUUGAUGCUCAACGUUCAAGUAGCGCAAUCCAGGUACUCCUUUGAAAACUCCUUUCAAACAACCUUGUAUGCUUUACAGAAAUUCUACAUUACUUCUGAUCCACAAUAUGUCAACCACAUAUACUUAUCAGAAAUUCUAUAGUGCUCCCACUCACUUCUUUGGAAAUACAAGUUUCUCAUAAACCNNNNNNNNNNNNNNNNNNNNNNNNNNNNNNNNNNNNNNNNNNNNNNNNNNNNNNNNNNNNNNNNNNNNNNNNNNNNNNNNNNNNNNNNNNNNNNNNNNNNNNNNNNNNNNNNNNNNNNNNNNNNNNNNNNNNNNNNNNNNNNNNNNNNNNNNNNNNNNNNNNNNNNNNNNNNNNNNNNNNNNNNNNNNNNNNNNNNNNNNNNNNNNNNNNNNNNNNNNNNNNNNNNNNNNNNNNNNNNNNNNNNNNNNNNNNNNNNNNNNNNNNNNNNNNNNNNNNNNNNNNNNNNNNNNNNNNNNNNNNNNNNNNNNNNNNNNNNNNNNNNNNNNNNNNNNNNNNNNNNNNNNNNNNACAAGUUUCUCAUAAACCCUGUACAAACCCAAAAUCUUUUAUCAUCUCAUCAAAGUGUAUAUCCAACUCCGAGAUGCUUGCACCAGUCCAUUGAAGGAUUGCUGGAGCUUGCAUACUUGCUAGUAUCUUUAGGAUCGACAAAACCUUCUGGUUGUAUCACAUACAAUGUUUGGUCAAGGAAACCGUCGAGGAAACAAUGUUUUUGACAUCCUAUGUGCAAUAUUUCAAAAAUAAUGCAACAACUACUAACAUAAUUCUAACAGACUUUUAGCAUCGCUACGAGUGAUAAAGUCUCACCAUAGUCAACUAUUUGAUCAUGUCGGAAACAUCUUUGCGACAAGUCAAGCUUUUCUUAAUAGUGAAUUAUCACCAUCAUUGUCUGUCUUCCUUUUAAAGAUCCAUCUUUACUCAAUAGUCCUACGACCAUCAAGUAGUUCUUCCAAAGUCUACACUUUGUUUUCAUACAUGGAUCCUCUCUCGGAUUUCAUGGCCUCCAGCCAUUUGUCGGAAUCCGGGCCCACCAUUGCUUUCUCCAUAACUCGUAGGUUCACUGUUGCUCAACAACAUGACCUCCAAGACAGGGUUACCGUACCACUCUGCAGUAGUACGCGACCUUGUCAACCUACGAGGUUUGUAGUAACUUGAUCCGAUGCUCGAUGAUCACCAUCAUCAGCUUUCACUUCAAUUGGUGUAGGCGCCACAGGAACAACUUCCUGCGCCCUGCCACACACUGGUUGAAGUGAUGGUUCAAUAACCUCAUCAAUUUCUACCACCCUCCCACUCAAUUCUUUCGAGAGAAACCUUUCCUCGAGAAAGGAUCCGUUUCUAGAAACAAACACUUUGCUUUCGGAUCUGAGAUAGGAGAUGUACCCAACUGUUUUGGAUAUCCUAUGAAGAUGCAUUUAUCCGCUUUGGGUUCGAGCUUAUCAGACUGAAACUUUUUCACAUAAGUGUCGAAGCCUGAAACUUUCAAGAAACGACAGUUUAGAUUUCUCUAAACCUCAGUCUAUACUAUGUCAUCUCAACGGAAAUACGCGGUGCCCUAUUUAAAGUGAAUGUGGUUGUCUCUAAUGCAUAACCCAUAAACGAUAGUGGUAAUUUGAUAAGAGACAUCAUAGCAUGCACCAUACCAAAUAAUGCGUGGCUAUGACGUUCAGACACAUCAUCACACUAUGAUGUUCGAGGUGGCAUCAACUGCGAAACAAUUUCCACAUUGUCUUAACUGCGUACCAAGACUCGUAACUCAGAUAUUCAUUUCUAUGAUCAUAUCGUAGACAGUUUAUCCUCUUGUUACGACGAACUUCACUGCGAAACAGAAUUGAACUUUUCAAUAUUUCAGACUUGUGAUUCAUUAAGUAAAUACUCUUGUAUCUACUUAAAUCGUCAUUGAAGUAAGAACAUAAUGAUAUCCACUGCGUGCCUCAACACUCAUUGGACUUCAUACAUCAAAAUGUAUCACUUCCAACAAGUUACUAUCUUGUUUCAUCUCAAUGAAAACAAGGCCUUGCUCAUGGGGUAUGAUUUGCAUGUCACUAGUGAUUCAAAAUCAAGUGAGUAUAAAGAUCCAUCAGCAUGGAGCCUCUUCAUGCAAUUUAUACCAACAUGACUCAAGCGGCAGUGCCACAAGUAAGUGGUACUAUCAUCAUUACCUCGUAUCUUUUGGCACCAAUAUCAUGAACAUGUGUAACACUACGAUCGAGAUUCAAUAAACCAUUGAAGGUGAUUAUUCAAGCAAAUAGAGUAACCAUUAUUCUUUUAAAUGAAUAAUCGUAUUGCAAUAAACACGAUCCAAUCAUGUUCAUGCUUAACGCAAGCACCAAAUAACAAUUAUUUUGGUUUAACACCAAUCCCGAUGGUAGAGGGAGCGUGCGACGUUUUGAUCAUAUCAACCUUGGAAACACUUCCAACACGUAUCGUCACCUCGCCUUUAGCUAGUCUCCGUUUAUGCCGUAGCUAUCAUUUCGUGUUACUAAUCACUUAGCAACCGAACCGGUAUCCAAUACCCUUGUGCUACUAGGAGUACUAGUAAAGUACACAUCAACAUCAUGUAUAUCAAAUAUACUUCUUUCGACUUUUUCCAACCUUCUUAUCUACCAAGUAUCUAGAGUUGAUCCGCCUCAGUGACUGUUCCCCUCAUUACAGAAGCACUUAGUCUCGGGUUUGGGUUUAAUCUUGGGUCUCUUCAUUAGUGCAGCAAUUGUUUUGCCGUUUCAGGAAGUAUCCCUUCUAGCCCUUGCCUUUCUUGAAACUUAGUGGUUUUACUAACCAUCAACUAUUGAUGCUCCUUCUUGAUUUCUACUUUCGUAGUGUCAAACAUCGCCAAUCGCUCAAGGAUCAUUGUAUCUAUCCUUGAUAUGUUAUAGUUCAUCACGAAGCUCUCACAGCUUGGUGGCAGUGACUUUGGAGAACCAUCACUAUCUCAUCUGGAAGAUUAACUCCCACUUGAUUCAAGCGAUUGUCGUACUCAGACAAUCUGAGCACAUGCUCAACGAUUGAGCUUUUCUCCUUUACUUUGUGGACAAAGAAUCUUGUCGGAGGUCUCGUACCUCUUAACAAGGGCACAAGCAUGAAAUCAUAAUUUCAUCUCUUUAGAACAUCACUUAUGUUCCGUGACGUUUCAAAACGUCUUCGGCGCCUUGCUUCUAAGCCAUUAAGUAUUUUGCACUGAACUAUCGUGUAGUCAUCAGAAACGUGUAUGUCGGAUGUUCACAGCAUCCACAGACGACGCUCGAGGUGCAACACACCGAGUGGUGCAUUAAGGACAUAAGCCUUCUGCGCAGCAACGAGGACAAUCCUCUGCAAAGUUUGCUACUAUCAACUUUCAACUAAAUUUUCUCUAGGAACAUAUAAAAACAGUAGAGCUAUAGCGCAAGCUACAUCGUAAUUUGUAAAGACCAUUAGACUAUGUUCAUGACAAUUAGUUCAAUUAAUCAUAUUACUUAAGAACUCCCACUCAAAAAUUACAUCUCUCUAGUCAUUUGAGUGGUACAUGAUCCAAAUCCACUAUCUCAAGUCCGAUCAUCACGUGAGUCGAGAAUAGUUUCAGUGGUAAGCAUCUCUAUGCUAAUCAUAUCAACUAUACGAUUCAUGCUCGACCUUUCGGUCUCAUGUGUUCCAAGGCCAUGUCUGCACAUGCUAGGCUCGUCAAGCUUAACCCGAGUGUUUCGCGUGUGCAACUGUUUUGCACCCGUUGUAUGUGAACGUUGAGUCUAUCACACCCGAUCAUCACGUGGUGUCUCGAAACGAAGAACUGUCGCAACGGUGCACAGUCGAGGAGAACACAAUUUCGUCUUGAAAUUUUAGUGAGAGACCACCUUAUAAUGCUACCGUCGUUCUAAGCAAGAUAAGGUGCAUAAAGGAUUAACAUCACAUGCAAUUCAUAAGUGACAUGAUAUGGCCAUCAUCAUGUGCUUCUUGAUCUCCAUCACCAAAGCAUCGGCACGAUCUUCUUGUCACCGGCGUCACACCAUGAUCUCCAUCAUUAUGAUCUCCAUCAACGUGUCGCCAUCGGGGUUGUCGUGCUACUCAUGCUAUUACUACUAAAGCUACGUCCUAGCAAUAUAGUAAACGCAUCUGCAAGCACAAACGUUAGUUUAAAGACAACCCUAUGGCNUUGUUGUUGCAUGUUUUACGUGGUGACCAUGGGUAUCUAGUAGGAUCGCAUCUUACUUACGCAAACACCACAACGGAGAUAUAUGAAUUGCUAUUUAACCUCAUCCAAGGACCUCCUCGGUCAAAUCCGAUUCAACUAAAGUUGGAGAAACCGACACUUGCCAGUCAUCUUUGAGCAACGGAGUUACUCGUAGCGAUGAAACCAGUCUCUCGUAAGCGUACGAGUAAUGUCGGUCCAAGCCGCUUCAAUCCAACAAUACCGCGGAAUCAAGAAAAGACUAAGGAGGGCAGCAAGACGCACAUCAUCGCCCACAAAAACUUUUGUGUUCUACUCGAGGUUACAUCUACGCAUGAACCUAGCUCAUGAUGCCACUGUUGGGGAACGUCGCAUGGGAAACAAAAAUUUUCCUACGCGCACGAAGUCCUAUCAUGGUGAUGUCAAUCUACGAGAGGGGAUUUCCGAUCUACGUACCCUUGUAGAUCGCACAGCAGAAGCGUUAAGAAACGCGGUUGAUGUAGUGGAACGUCCUCACGUCCCUCGAUCCGCCCCGCGAACCGUCCCACGAACCGUCCCGCGAUCCGUCCCACGAUCCGCUCCGAUCUAGUGCCGAACGGACGGCACCUCCGCGUUGAGCACACGUACAGCUCGACGAUGAUCUCGGCCUUCUUGAUCCAGCAAGAGAGACGGAGAGGUAGAUGAGUUCUCCGGCAGCGUGACGGCGCUCCGGAGGUUGGUGGUGAUCUAAUCUCAGCAGGGCUCCGCCCGAGCUCCGUAGAAACGCUAUCUAGAGGUAAAACCGUGGAGGUAUGUGGUCGGGCUGCCGUGGUAAAAGUUGUCUCAAAUCAGCCCUAAUAGCUCCAUAUAUAUAGGAGGAGGGGAGGGGAGGCUUGCCUUGAGGCUCAAGGAGCCCCAAGGGCUGCGCCACCAAGGGGAGGAGGAGUCCUCCUCCAAUCCUAGUCCAACUAGGAUUGGAAGGUGGAGUCCUUCUCUUCCUUCCCACCUCCUUUUUUUUCUUUUCUCUUUCAUUUUCUAUCUAUGGCGCAUAGGGCCUUCUUGGGCUGUCCCACCAGCCCACCAAGGGCUGGUGCGCCACCCCAAGGCCUAUGGGCUUCCCCGGGGUGGGCUGCCCCCCCGGUGAACAUCCGGAACCCAUUCGUCAUUCCCGGUACAUUCUCGGUAACUCCGAAAACCUUCUGGUAAUCAAAUGAGGUCAUCCUAUAUAUCAAUCUUCGUUUCCGGACCAUUCCGGAAACCGUCGUGACGUACGUGAUCUCAUCCGGGACUCCGAACAACAUUCGGUAACCAACCAUAUAACUCAAAUAUGCAAAAAACAACGUCGAACCUUAAGUGUGCAGACCCUGCGGGUUCGAGAACUAUGUAGACAUGACCCGAGUGACUCCUUGGUCAAUAUCCAAUAGCGGGACCUGGAUUCCCAUAUUGGAUCCUACAUAUUCUACGAAGAUCUUAUCGUUUGAACCUCAGUGCCAAGGAUUCAUAUAAUCCCGUAUGUCAUUCCCUUUGUCCUUCGGUAUGUUACUUGCCCGAGAUUCGAUCGUCAGUAUCCGCAUACCUAUUUCGAUCUCGUUUACCGGCAAGUCUGUUUACCCGUUCCGUAAUANNNNNNNNNNNNNNNNNNNNNNNNNNNNNNNNNNNNNNNNNNNNNNNNNNNNNNNNNNNNNNNNNNNNNNNNNNNNNNNNNNNNNNNNNNNNNNNNNNNNNNNNNNNNNNNNNNNNNNNNNNNNNNNNNNNNNNNNNNNNNNNNNNNNNNNNNNNNNNNNNNNNNNNNNNNNNNNNNNNNNNNNNNNNNNNNNNNNNNNNNNNNNNNNNNNNNNNNNNNNNNNNNNNNNNNNNNNNNNNNNNNNNNNNNNNNNNNNNNNNNNNNNNNNNNNNNNNNNNNNNNNNNNNNNNNNNNNNNNNNNNNNNNNNNNNNNNNNNNNNNAGAUUCGAUCGUCAGUAUUCGCGUACCUAUUUCAAUCUCGUUUACCGGCAAGUCUCUUUACUCGUUCCGUAAUACAAGAUCCCACAACUUACACUAAGUCACAUUGCUUGCAAGGCUUGUGUGUGAUGUUGUAUUACCGAGUGGGCCCCGAGAUACCUCUCCGUCAUACGGAGUGACAAAUCCUAGUCUUGAUCCAUACUAUCUCAACGAACACCUUCGGAGAUACCUGUAGAGCAUCUUUAUAGUCACCCAGUUACGUUGCGACGUUUGAUACACACAAAGCAUUCCUCCGGUGUCAGUGAGUUAUAUGAUCUCAUGGUCAUAGGAACAAAUACUUGAGACGCAGAAAACAGUAGCAACAAAACGACACGAUCAACAUGGUACGUCUAUUAUUUUGGGUCUAGUCCAUCACAUGAUUCUCCUAAUGAUGUGAUCCCGUUAUCAAGUAACAACACUUGCAUAUGGCCGGGAAACCUGGACCAUCUUUGAUCAAUGAGCUAGUCAACUAGAGGCUUACUUGGGACAGUGUUUUGUCUAUGUAUCCACACAAGUAUUGUGUUACCAAUCAAUACAAUUAUAGCAUAGAUAAUAAACGAUUAUCAUGAACAAAGAAAUAUAAUAAUAACUAAUUAUUAUUGCCUCUAGGGCAUAUUUCCAACACCCUGGUGCUAUUACCUCUUUUUUCUUGAGGUAGUAGCACCGGUUCUAGAACUUGCCAGGAAUGUGAUUAUUUAGUCCUAAAACUUAUAAAAGUAGAUUAAGUAGUCCUAAAACUUGCACAGGAGGUGCGAGUUUAGUCCUAAGCCAAUCAAAAGCCGCCAAAUGGAGCCACCAUGGCGGGGCGGUCAAUAAUGGUGUUUUUACAUUUUCCACCCUGUCGUUUACUCAAAUCAACCCGCGAUACACCUCAGCCUCGUCGAAGGGGUAAAUCCACCUACAAUUAUUGUCUCCCUCAAUCAUUCGUCCGCCGGUCGCUUCCUCGCUCGUCCUCAUCCUGUUGAGUGUCGGGAUGUCGAUCGUUGCCCUGCUGCUCGCUCACGUCAACACGCAUGACGGCAUCGCCGGAGUGGUUCGGCGGCGGUUCGCAGCCACCUCCGUCCGUUCACCUCGUUCGCUCGAUCGGGGUCUUCCCUCCGGACCGUGGUUCGUCUCCCCUCCUAUUUUCCUCCUCCUCCUCCCCUUUCCUGGUCCUCUCGCUCCGAUGAUUUCAUGCCUCUCUAGUCCGACUCAUCGAUAGGUUUGACUAGUGUUUAGCUGUUGCUUUCGACUUGUCACACUCAGUAAUUCAAGUUGCAAGUUUAGUUUGUGGAUUCACUCUAGGGUUUUGGCAUGUAUAGAGAGAUUAUCUCGAAAUAAACAGGUGAUUUAAACUAAGUGUAGUGUGUGUGAACUUAAUUUAGGUGUUAAUUCUGUUGCAAUGCCUUAGAUCUGUUCACAAAUUUUUGGUUAAAAAUAUGAACUUUGCAUAUCAUUUAUGCUACUCAUGUGGGCGAAAUCCAGUAAUUCAAAUGACAUCCAGGAAAUGUGAGUCUUUACAAUAUAAUAAUGUACUUAGUUCAUGGAAUUUCGUACAAUAAUGUCAUCGAUAUCUUCGGUUAAUUGUGUUUUUUAAGUUAACUGCAUAUGUUCAGUUGACUUCAUAUGUUAAGAGUUAAUUGUGUUUCUCUAGUAGGCCUCUUUCUUCGGUUAACUUUACAUAUGCUUACAUUCUACAUAUUUUCUGGAUACAAUGUGUGAUUCGACAAUGGGACAAAGGGUGGAUUCUCCUUUUUUUACACUUGAAUUGGAGGUGGCCUUUACCGUGGCGCAAUUGACGACAUGGAGUAUUUUAACCAUUCCGUGGAGGUGCUUGAUUAUGUUGAUUCUUGCAAUAUCUCAUAUGCAGUCCUUGAAGAGCACUUAAUUUGGCUUGGAUAUCCUAUGGGGCAACAUAUCAUAUAUUGGUGCAGACCUGGCAAAACAAUUCCAGAUGGGAUGGUAAGAAUUAGAGGUAAUGAGGAGCUGCAGCAGAUGUUCAGAGCUAGUGCUCAACAUAAAGUGCUUGAAAUCAUAGCUGACAAUUCAGAUUUCACCAGUAAUUUCAAACAAGACUUGGUACUGAAAAUGUCGAUAGUUGAGAGCCCUGUGAGGAUCUCCAACUCAAAUGCUGGUGCGGUGAGUGCAAUAUCUUCUCACAUCCUCAUAUCUGUCAAUGUUUAAGACCCAAUAUCAGAGGUUGCAACAGAUGCAACAGCAGAAGAGAACUUGCUUACUAAUGAUGCAGAGAACUUGCUUAAUGCUGCUGCAUAUAAUUUACUUAUUGAUGGUGCAAAUGCAACAUUAGCAGUAAAUUUGCAGCCUGAAGAUAUUGUGGUUUCAGAUUCAGAUUUCAAUGAGAGUGAUUAUGACAUAGAUGAUGGAGAUGAUGAUCUGUAUGAAGACAACAUUGACUUUCAUGUUGACGAAGAAGCUCAGCAGGAGGAGGAAGAGGUGUAGCGUGAUUAUCUAUUAGAAGAUGAAAAUCUAAAUGUGUCCAUUGAGGAACAAGAGCAGCUUAAGUACAAGUUCAAAGCUUUGAAUCCCAAAGUGGACAUGACAUCACCUGUCUUUAGGUUAGGAAUGGUAUUUGCUGAUGUGAUGAGCCGAGGAGAGCUAUUACUGCAUAUGCAAUAAGGAAUAGAGUGCAAAUCAAGAAGUUGGAGAAUGACAAGAUAAGACUGGAGGUAGUGUGUCAGAGAGGUUGUCCAUGGCUUCUUAAGGCUGGGAAUGACAAAAAAAUUUGGAGGUUUUGUCAUUAAGGCCUACAGUGGAGAGCAUUUGUGCCAGAAGACAUGGAAGUUAAAGGAUUUUACAGCUAAAUUCCUAUGCAAGACAUUCAUUGAUGAGUUCAAGGAUGACCAAAAGAUGUCACUUGCAACAUUUUCAAGGAAAAACACUAAGUAAUUUAAUGUGACUCCUAACAAAUGAAAGUUAGCUAGGGAUAAAAAGGAAUCAUUGAAUGAGAUCCAUGGUGAUGAGGCAGAGCAAUUCACUAAGCUAUGGGACUAUGUGUAUGAAUUAAGGAGCAAGAACCCUCGGUCUACAUUUCUGCUAUCAACUACACUAGUGAAGGAUAAAAAGUUUCCAUUGGGCAGGAAAUGUUUGAAAACCAUGUACUGGUCAUAUGAUGCAUGUAAAAUAGGUUGUCUUAAGGGUUGCAGACUCGAGGCAAAGACUUGGUGCAUGACAUUUUUCAGUGAAUUUUCCAAAUGUGAAAUUCUCUUGAACAAUAACUCUGAAGUGUUUAACAUUUACAUACUUGAGGGCAGAGAGAUAGCAAUGCUUAGUAUCCUUGAAUACAUAUUCUACAAGAUCAUGCACAAGUUAGUGAGCAAACAAAGGCAAGCUAUUGAAAAGUGGACAGUGUGUAGAAUAUGCCCAAAGAUUAGGAAGAAAUUAGAAAAAGCACUGAAUUUGCUGCAAACUGUCAUGUACGAGAAGUUGGCCAACAGAUUUUCAAAGUUAUGUCUGGUAACUCAACCUCCACUAUAGACCCUUGCUUGCACACAUGUGAUUGUAGGAGGUGGCAGCUGUUUGGAGUACCAUGUGGGCAUUGUGUAGCAUGCUGCAUGGAGGAGAGAAUUGAUCCAGAGACAAUGGUACAUGAAUGUUACAUUUCAGACAUAUCUUAAAGCUUAUGGAUAUACUCUAGUUCCUCUUGGAGGCCCAAAAGAAUAAAAUCAACAAAAUGGGUACAAGGUGUUUCCACCAGUGUUCACAGAACAGUCGGGGAGGCCAAAGUAAAACAGGAAGAGGACACCAGAGGAGAAGAUGAGGAAUGGUGUUACUGUUUUGAACAGAAAGGGUGUUACAAUGCACUGCUCCAUAUGCGGGAGAGCUGAUCACAACAGAAACAGGCAUUACAAAUGGCAGGAAGCUCAGAUUCAAGAAUGGGUGGAGUUAGUUGAUGAAAACUAUGAUGACCCAACUUUCCUUUAGGUAUGUGCACUUAACUGAAUUUAGCUGCAUUUGUACUUGUGUGAAACUUAAUUGAAUAUAACUAAAUUUAGUUGCAUUUGUGCUUGUAUGAAACUUAAACGUAUGUGGAGAACAUCUUCCCCGAGCAACCAAAUCCUAGGUUAGAUCCAGCUGAGCCACCAACAAGCAUGGUGUUCAACAUGGGUGGGAGAGAACUUGCAAGAAGAGCUCCUCAGAGGGUCCAUGGCCCAUUGCGAGAGCAAUCUUCAUUUGUUCCUGCUGCUGCCUGCUGGUGCUACAAUACCUUAGCCAAGGGUGACCACAGAAAUGAACAUAGGAAGGCAAACAAGUGUAACCACAGCAGCUAAAGAAGGCAAGGGUCUGGAAGUGCUAGAAGGGGGAGAGGAAGGAAAAGACAAAGAGAUGCAGGGAGAGGAGGAGGAGGCAGAAAUGUAGAUGCACGUGCUGGGACAACAUGAGGAAGAGGAGGCAGAAAUGUUCAUGAUUGGAGAGGAAGAGGAUCAAGAAAUGCAGGGGAGGCACAUGAGGAAUAAUUCCAGGUGGUGUUGUAGGAAGUGGAGGAAGAAAUCCAGAUGGCGGGAGAGGAAGCAUUCCAGGGGAGAGGGCAUACUAGCUGCUGUUUGGAGAAGACUUGAGGAGCCAAAUUCCCGACCUAAAUGCUCCUCCUGAAUAUUUUCCUGUCACAGGAUGCGCCUGAUCCGUGAUGGAAUGGCAAUUUUCAUUGCCAUUUUUUAUAAGGCCUAGAAUGAUGUAGCUCAUAAACUAGCGUGAAGAAGCAGGGUCGCAACCCCUUUUUGAUAGCAAAGAGUGUCAUUCAUUGUCACAUUGGUAAUUUUCGUGCCAUAACAUUGUGGUUGGUGGAGAUAUGUGGUUAAAUGAAUUUCAUAUGCCUAUUUACCUAUUUAUGAUGAAUUUUAUUUUGCCAACUAAAUUUUGAUUUUAUACCACCAUUCUAAUGUUCUACUCCCUCCGUUCCUAAAUAUAACUCUUCUUAGAGGUUUCACUAGGAGACUACAUACGGAUGUAUGUAGACAUACUUUAGAGUGUAGAUUCACUCAUUUUGCUCUAUAUGUAGCCCCCUAGUGAAAUCUCUAAAAAAUACUCAUAUUUAGGAACAGAGGAAGUAGUUAAUUGAUUUUUAGAAAAAGUAGCCAAAAAAUAUGUGAGGCAUGGGGCUCGAACCCACGGCCUGUGAUUUGAUAUGCUGCUCUCAAUGCCAAUGGGAUAGUAGUAGGGACUUGUCAUGUUACUCCUAGUUUCUAGUGGGAUCGUGCGUGCGUGCGCGUGCGUUGCACAUGGUGAGCAACGACCGUGCGGUUCUUAAGAGGUGGACGGUUGGGUUUCCCACUGCUCUAAAUACAUGUCCACCCACUCGAUCCCCCCCACUCAUGUCUCUUCGCACUUCUCUCUCUCCACCGUUCCCAAUCUCACACACAGAAAACCCUCAACGUCCACCAUGCAACCGUCGGCCACCACCCAAACAUUGAAGCCAUGGACAAUAGCAUAGGCUGGCAGAAGGCCAUGGAAGAUCUCGUCGGCGACAGGAACGAGAUCCGCGAGCAGCUUCGGGAAAUUACGCGCUAGUUCCCAAGCAUGGCAAUGAUGCGUGAUACCUCUUCGUUGUAUCUAUAAUUUUUGAUUGUUUCAUGCCAAUAUUAUACAACUUUCACAUACUUUUGGCAACUUUUUAUAUGAUUUAUGCGACUAAACUAUUGAUCUAGUGACCAGUGCCAGUUCAUGUUUUUUGCAUGUUUUUUGUAUCACAUAAAAUCCAUAUCAAACUAAGUCCAAACAUGAUAAAAAUUUACGGAGAAUUAUUUUGGAAUUUAUGUGAUUUUUGGGAGGUGGAAUCAACGCAAACGGGGGCCCCGAGAGCCCACAACCCACGAGGGCGCGCCAUAGGCCCUAUGCGCGCCCUAGUGUCUUAUGCCCUCCUCGAACGUCGGUUGGAGCCCUUAUUAUGGCGCAAGAAAUAGAAUUUAUGGAAAAAAACCGUGUAAAAGUUUUAGUGCAAUCGGAGUUACGGAUCUCCGGGAAUUUAAGAAACCGUGAAGGGCCACAUCUCGGAAGCGCGAAAUAGAAGAGAACAGAGAGGGAGAUCCAAUCUCAGAGGGGCUCCCGCCCCUCCGCCACCAUGGAUGCAAUGGACUAGAGGGGAACUCUCCUCCCAUCUACGGGGGAGUCCAAGGAAGGAGAAUAAGGAUGGUCUCUCUCUCUCCCUCUCUCCCGGUGGCGCCGGAGUGCCGCCGGGGCUAGGAUCAUGACGGUGAUCUACAUCAACAACCUUGCUACCUUCAACACCAACUUUCUCCCCCUCUAUGCAGCGGUGUAACACCCCUUCUCCCCGCUCUAAUAUCUACUUAAACAUGGUGCUCAACUCCAUAUAUUAUUUCCCAAUCUUAUUUGGCUCUCCUAUGAUGUUUGAGUAGAUCCAUUUUGUCCUAUGGGUUAAUCGUGAUCUUGGUUGAUAUGAUUGUAUAUUUUAUUUAUGGUUCUGUCCUACGGUGCCCUACGUGUCACGCAAACGUGAGGGCCCCCCGCUGUAGGGUGUUGCAAUAUGUUCAUGGUUUGCUCAUUGUCGGUCUUGCGAGGGUAACAACAGCCUAAACGCGGAUAAGUGGGUUAUGGCGUAGGGGAGUAAAGAGGACUUGAUACUUAAUGCUAUGGUUGGGUUUCAUGACCUUAAUGAUCUUUAGUAGUUGCGGAUGCUUGCUAAAGCUCCAAUCAUAAGUGCAUAUGAUCCAAGCAGAGAAAGUAUGUUAGCUCAUGCCUCUCCCUCAUAUAAAUUGCAAGAAUGAUUACCGGUACUUGUUAUCGAUUGCCUAGGGACAAAUGACUUUCUUGUUGACAAAAGCUAUCCACUUUUAUUACCUUGCAAUUUAUUCAUAGUUUUAUUCUCGCAAAGUACUCGUAGUUUUGUUGUUGAAAAAUAGUUUCAAACUUGUUUUAGGUAAAUAAAACGUCAAGCGUGCGUAGAAUUGUAUCGGCGGUCGAUAGAACUUGAGGGAAUAUUUGUUCCACCUUUAGCUCCUUGCUGGGUUCGACACUCUUACUUAUCGAGAAAGGCUACAAUUGAUCCCCUAUACUUGUGGGUACUCAUGGAGAUGGGGAACCUCCUAAAACCAUCGAUGCUCGUUAUGUGAAAAAUAUUAUGCACUACUUUGAUAAUCCCGAGAAAACCCCAUUCAACAUGAUAAUGGGAGACACGUUGAUCAAUGUGAAUACUUUAGGGAUUAUCGCUUGACACAAAAAGGGAAACUGUUAUGAGAUCAAAUUGAUAUGUUGCAUUGAUAAGGGAAACGUAAAUUCCAAGCAUACCAAUGCACUACUUUGAUAAUCCCGAGAAAACCCCAUUCAACAUGAUAAUGGGAGACACGUUGAUCAACGUGAAUACUUUAGGGAUUAUCGCUUGACACAAAAAGGGAAACUGGUAUGAGAUCAAAUUGAUAUGUUGCAUUGGUAUGCUUGGAAUUUAUGCCAAAGAUAUGAUUUUACUUGUUGCUCUAGGAUGAAUGCUCCACACCUUCCCUUUUCAUGCAAAUUUCAUGAUAUGAAACCUUGGCUUCUUAUGCUAAUGGUAUAUAUGAUUACUAUGAUGUGGAACGAAUAGAAGAAUUUGUUGCUUUAAGGGUGCUUAUGAAAUUGAAUCUUUGUUUGAAAAGUUUGAUGGUUUUGAUGAUUCAGUUUAUAGAUAUGAAAAUUUUUCUAUCCUUAAAUAUUGCUAUGAUAAUUAUAAAUACAAUUUCGAUAUUGAUGCAUUUAUUUAGGAAGUCUCCGCUGUCCAAGAAGAGAUUAAUAUUUUGUAGGAGUCUAUGGAAGAAGGAAUUGAUGAAACUGUGAGCUCAUUGGAUGGAAAAGAUGACGAGGAGAGCAAAGAACAAAAGGAGGAAGAGCGGAUUGAUCACCCGUGCCCGCCUUCUAAUGAGAGUAACUCUUCAACUCAUACAUUGUUUAACGUCCCUUUGUUCCUACCGAAGGAUGAAUGCUAUGAUAAUUACUAUGACCCCGUUGAUUCGUUUGAAAUAUCCCUUUUAGAUGAUGCUUGCUAUGCUUGUGGAAAAGUUGCCAAUAUGAAUUAUGCUAUUGGAGAUGAACUUGCUAUUGUUCCUUAUAUUAAGAAUGAAAUUGUUGCUAUUGCGCCCACACAUGAUAGUCCUAUUAUCUAUUUGAAUUCUCCAAACUACACUAUAUCGGUGAAGUUUGCACUUGUUAGUGAUUAUAUUGAUGGGUUGCCUUUUACCACUACACAUGAUGAUUUUGAUGAAUAUAAUAUACAUGUGAUUGCUGCUCCUACUUGCAAUUAUUAUAAGAUAGGAACUAUAUCUCUGCCUCUCUAUGUUUCAAACAUGAUAAAAUUGCAAGAAACUGCUUAUGCUAUGUAUUGGCCUUUACUUGAUGUGCAUGAAUUGUUCUUGUAUGACAUGUUGAUGCAUAGGACGAGAGUUAGAGUUCACCAUUGCUUGAUAUAUGUUGUUUUGUGCUUACUACUAAAUGCCAAAUCAUUGCUAAUUAAAAUUGGCUUUGAUAUACCUUGGGAUCCGAGUGGAUCCAUUACUUGAGCACUUUAUGCCUAGCUUAACGACUUUAAAGAAAACGCUGCCAGGGAGACAACCCGGAAGUUUUAGACAGUCAUUUCAUUCUGUUGAGUGCUUUUAUAAAGUUAAAAAAAUAUAGAGGGGAACUUAAAACUUCACAAAAAUAGAAGCGAUUGAAAGGUGAUGCAUUGGUAAAGUGGGGGUCGACCUUGAACACUUGUGUUCAUGCUCAUGGAAACAAUGUAGAUUUUUUCAUGAACAUUCUUACAAAAAUAAUUACCCCUUGUACAAAUCCAUUGUAUUAUAAAAAUAAUGUGCCAAGAUUUGCCUUUAGGAUGUGUAGAUUGCUUGUUGGUAUGUGCGGUGCAGAAACAGAAACUUUCGUUGUAGCGCGUGAAUUUUCAUUUUUUACUGGAACGUAAAAAGGUUCUGAAACUUUUUGAAAAAUAUUUAUGUACAAUUUUUAUUUCUUCCUAAGUUUUCAGAAUUUGUGGAGUAACAGAAGUAUGGUAGAUGUAAAGAUUGCUACAGACUGUCCUGUUUAAGACAGAUUAUGUUUUUGAUGCAUUGUUUUGCUUGUUUUGAUGAAACUAUCGGUUUUUAUUGGUGGUAUGAGCCAUGGAAAAGUUAUAUUACAGUAGCUACAAUGAAAAAACAAAAUAUUAAUUGGUUUCAACAGUACUUAGAGUAGUGAUUUGCUUCAUUAUACUAGCAGAUCUUACCGAGCUUUCUUUUGAGUUUUGUGUGGAUGAAGUGAUCAAAGAUCGAGGAAGUCUCGAUAUGAGGAGAAGAAGGAGAGGAAAGAGCUCAAGCUUGGGGAUUCCCAAGGCACGCCAAGUAAAUAUUCAAGUAGAAUCAAGCGUCUAAGCUUGGGGAUGCCCCGGAAGACAUCCCAUCUUUCUUUAACAAGUAUCGGUAUGUUUUCGUCUUUGCUUCGUUCAUGUGAUAUGUGCAAAUCUUGGAGCGUAUUUUGCAUUUACUUUUAAUUUUUUUUAUUUUAUGCACCAUGCUGGUAUGAGAUAGUCCACGGUUGAUUUAUAGAAUGCUCAUUUCACUUCACUUAUAUCUUUUGAGUAUGUCUUUAUAGAAUGCUUCAUGUGCCUCACUUAUAUCAUUUGAAGUUUGGAUUGCCUGUUUCUCUUCACAUAGAAAACCGUUGUUUGUAGAAUGCUCUAUUGCUUAACUUAUACUUAUUAGAGCAUGAUAUAUUUUAGAAAGAAUUAAAAUCUCAUGCUUCACUUAUAUCUAUUUAGAGAGUCAACAUGAAUUGGUCAUUUGCAUGGUUAGUCAUAAAAUCCUACAUAAAACUUAUGGAUCACUCAAUAUGAUAUGUUUGAUUCCUUGCAAUAGUUUUGCGAUAUAGAGAUGGAAUAUGUGGGAGGUACUAGUAGACGGUUGUGGUUAUUAAGAAUAUUGGUGUUAAGGUUUGUGAUUCCCGAAGCAUGCACGUAUAGUCUCUCGUUAUGCCGGGAAGUUGGAGCACAGUUUAUCCUUGAAUGUCUAUAUUUGUGUGAAGGUCGGGGGUGCACGAUGGUUAAAUACUACCAACCUCCCCCCUAGGAGCAUGCGUAGUAGUACUUUGCUUCAAGGGCUAAUAGACUUUUGCAAUAAGUAUAUGAUUUCUUUAUGAAUAAUGUGAGUCCAUGGAUUGUACGCACUCUCACCUUUCCGCAAUUUGCUAGCCUCUACGGCACCGUGCAUUGCCCUUUAUCACCUCGAGACAUGGUGCAAACCUCGCCGGUGCAUCCAAACCCCGUGAUAUGAUACGCUCUAUCACACAUAAGCCUUAUUAUAUCUUCCUCAAAACAACCACCAUACCUACCUAUUAUGGCCUUUCCAUAGCCAUUCCGAGAUAUAUUGCCAUGCAAUUUCCACCGCGUCCGUUUGACUUGAGCAUUCAUUGUCGUAUUGCUUUGCAUGAUCAUAUAGCUGACAUAGUAGUUGUGGCUCAGCCACCGUGCAUCAUUUUUUAUAAAUGUUACGCUAGAUCAUUGCACAUCCUGGUACACUACCAGAGGCAUUCAUGUAGAGUCAUAUUUUGUUUUUGGUAUUGAGUUGUAAUUUUUAUUUGUUUUAAGUUAUAAGUAAAUAGAAGUGUGAUGAUCAUCAUUAUUCAUUAUUAGAGCAUGUCCCAGUGAAGAAAGGAUGAUGGAAACUAUGAUUCCCCCACAAAUCGGGAUGGGACUCCGGACAAUGAGAGAAAAAAAUAUAUAAAAAAAUAGAAAAGAAAGAAAGAAAAGAAAGAAAAAAGAAGAAAAAACUAUAAAAAAGAAAAGAGGGAAGGGUCAUGCUAGUUCCACACUUGUGCUUCAAAGUAGCACCAUGUUUUUCAUAUGGAGAGUCUCCUAUGUUGUCACUUUCAUAUACCGGUGGGAAUUUUCAUUAUAGGAUUAGAUGCACACCCACUUAGUUUUCAUAUGGAGCUUUCAUAUACUUAUAGCUCUUAGUGCAUUCGUUGCAUGGCAAUCCCUACUCCUCACAUUGAUAUCAAUUGAUGAGCAUCUCCAUAGCCCAUUGGUUAGCCGCGUCGAUGUGAGACUUCCUUACUUUUUUGUCUUCUCUAUAUUUAUCCCUAUCAUCAUACUCUAUUCGACCCGUAGUGCUAUAUUCAUGGCUUGCGCUCAUGUAUCGCGUGAGGGUUGAAAAAGCUGAAGCACGUUAAAAAGUCUGAAACAGUUGCUUGGCUGACACGUGAUAGUACAUGAUUUAUACUUUGUGUUAAGAAGACAGAGCAUGACAAGAUUAUAUGACUUUGUAGGGAUAACUUUCUCUAGCGUUGAUAUUUUGAAAGACAUGAUUGUUUAUUGGGAUGCUUGAGUAUUGAUGUCUUUAUUCAAAUUAUAGACUAUUGCUUUGAAUCACUUAUGUUUUCAUAUUCAUGCCAUGAUUAGAUAUAUGAUCAAGUUUAUGCUAGGUAGCAUUCCACAUCAACUUUUUUACCAUUUACCUACUCGAGGACGAGCAGGAAUUAAGCUUGGGGAUGCUGAUGCAUCUCCGUCGUAUCUAUAAUUUUUGAUUGUUUCAUGCCAAUAUUAUACAACUUUCACAUACUUUUGGCAACUUCACUACAAGAGGAACCCCCCUAUAGCAACACUUUUUCCGUAUCUAAAGGUCCAUAUAUGCGUUGUUACUGUCUUUACCAACGAUUUGGGAUGUGUUGCCUUAUCCAGUGUUGCUAGCGCCUAAUGCAACGCUUAUACUGUCAUUGGUAAAAGGGGAAGUUGCAAGAAUACAACACAUAAAAUCAAUGUCUACAACACUUCUAUACGUUGGUGCUUAAUAUACAGGAAGCGAAAUCUCAUUGCUUGCCAAAAGAGAUUUUACACUUCACGUGUUGGUACAUAUAUCAUGUGAAUAUUAUUAUUAUUUUUGUUAUUAAUUAUUAUUAUUAUUAUUAAUCAAUUAUUCGCAUAAUGGUGAUCAUUAUGUAUAUCAAGUGAGGGAAAAAGACAACAUACUCACAAGAGUAAGCAAUCAUAUAUUUAAUAAUAUUGUUGGAUUACAAUAUUGGAUAUUACAAAAGGAACAUCAUCCCAAUUUGAUCCAUAAUCUGAAUAUUUUCUUUGGAGUAAGACUUAAACUGAAAAAAAUUCCAUCAAUAUCCCUACAACUUAACUAAGAUUUAACCGAGGAACAUCAUCCAGCAAGAAGAACAUCCCUACAACUUAACUAAAACUGAAAGCAUCCAUCAUCAUCAUCAUGAACCGAAACAUCAUCAUCAUCAUCAUUGUAGUAUACUUGCCACACACCCAUAGAAUCAUCCAUAUAUCUUCUGAUUGAAUCUACAAAGAAAAUAACAAAACGAACUGUUAAUCCACAAUGAACUCACAUGAUGCAAGUAGUGAUAGAGGCAGGUUAUUAGUCACGUACAGAGGUUGAUGGGCAAGAAAUGUAUGUUUGUUCAUUACAAGUUACUAACAUACAUAGUAGAUGGAAAUACAUUCGUAACCUAUCUCAAGGUCACCAUUGACCCGCUAGUAUAAGUUUUUUACCACUUUUUUGAGGGGUUCAUGUUAUAGACUUAAAUUAUAAUAGCAAAAAGGUUCGUGCGGGAGAAAAACAAUAUCACACCCCCUAUCCCAAUAAUCAUGGUGCAUAACCUACCACAUCUUAACUUUCUCUAUUUCAACAUGUCACUACAUUUUAUAAAUAAUAACUAGUUCGAAGCUAUUCAAGGAGAUACUAUCUGGUCAAUUCCUGUAAAAAUAAUUAAGAGGUUAAUUAAUUAGCUAUUCCUUUGAAUGUUAAUUCUCUACUUUUGCGAUUCUUGGAUUGGACGGAUAAAUUAACUAGCCACCCCUUUGAGUGGUAUUGCUCUACUUUUGUUAUCAAAGUCCACCAAAAUACGUUAAGUUGUCACACAUUUUUAUAUCUACGUGUCUUGUCCAGAAGGUUGAAGCCACCACCGAAUGUGGCCAUUAAGCAAGUUGAGGUUACUUUUUGCAGAGAAGAAAUAUUAUUCCAAAAGAACAAUUCCGAUAGAAACUUGGAAAAUAAAUGCAUUCCCUAGUAGUUUACUUCAUAAUUAAGUAGACAAUUCAUCAUGGCAUCAAACAAAAUACAUGAACGAUCUGUAGCUGAUCUGCAUUAGUACAGUUACACCAACAUGUAACAUCAUGUUAUUUCAGCAUUAUUCCCUUGAAAUAUGUACAGUGUAGUGAUGAAUGUGUGGAAUAAGAAGAGAGUGUCAACCUGGUUAGUACCUUGAAGAAGGCCUUGCUCUUGAGCUAGGGGUCCAACACUCAUGGACUGAAAGAAAUAAGAAGACCAAGAUGAAAAAACAACCAACAUACCUCGUCUAACUGUAGUUGGUGACUAACGGCGAGCUCGGGGAUAAGAACCAUCUUGUACGGCGUCUACAUGAGGGCCCUGGCGACGUCAAACUUCUAGGACAACUCAAACGCCGCCACCAUCGUUCUUUUGAUCCCUCGCCCUGCCAAUCAACAUUAUUAGAAUGCAAAACAGCACCAACAGUUUCACUUCUAGUAAGACGACCUCACCAUCACAUUGGAAUCCAAAAAAAUCAAUCAGAUGAUUCUAUAAUCUCAGUAUACACCAUGCGUAUUCAUCAAUGUGUGCAAUGAUUCCUGUGUUCGUAAUACAAGACUAUACAUGUCACCAUGCUUGUGUUGUACAGUCGUUACAACAUCUUAAAGUGCUGUAUUUUACUCCCUCCGUUCCUAAAUAUGUCUUUUAAGAGAUUUCACUAGGGGUCUACAUACGGAGAAAAAUGCGUGAAUCUACACUCUAAAAUAUGGCUAUUUACAUCUGUAUAUAGUCCACUAGUGUAACCUCUAGAAAGACUUAUAUUUAGGAACGGAGGGGGUAGCUAUGUGUGAUGAGCAAUGUAUCCACGGGGAUCCUAGAAAAUCAAUCAAAUCACAUUAAGUAGUGGAUAUAAGAAACCUAAGAGUUGGAGGGACCUGACUUGCUUUGCUGACGUAGCACCCCUCUUUUGAUCCAUUAUUAUUGGUUUUGUUACCAUUUCUUUGAGUGUUUCAUCUUACAGACUUAAAAUGUAUGAGCCUAAUAUUGGUGUAUUGGUGUAUGGGCAAAAAUCAUUGCAUAAGUAUUAAUAUUUAUCCAAUGUUGAACGUAUCAAUUGGGACAAAGAUACUCAUUUUUACGGCAUGCAGUGCGAAAUCUGUUGGAGCAGCACGAACCUGCACCAAUUGUGUGUGUCCCUUAUCCCACUCCUUCAUGAGAACCUGGUCCAAGUAUGAGUAAAAUAUAACAGAGUAAGAAUAAAUUUUCAGUUUUUGCUCGUAAACAUAGUUUACAUAUUAGUUAUGCACCAUUUGUGGUAAAGGGGCUACUUAAGUUAUUCAACACGUCAUGGUAGUUAACAUGGGAAAUCAUGUUUGGGUAAAAAUAAAUUAGUCCGAACAAAAUCACUACUUAUACUGUAUAUAUAGACAACCAAAAGUACCUAAAUAUGAAAAUGUUAACAAACGAUGGCAAGACAUGCUUAUAGUUUCUCUGAAGCUACAUACUUUUCACACAACACGUUGUAUAUGCACUAACCAUGACAAAUCACAAUAAUUCUUUAAUUGGAGUGUGUGCAAUUUGCAUAACACAUACAAGCAUAACUCAAAAAGCCUCGUGGUGCAUCUUUUAUUUUGUGAGAACAAGAAAAGGGUGGGAAAUGCCAAAUUUGGAACAAAAUUAAGGACCGCUUCAGAACCAUACACGCACACCAUUACUGAGGAUUUAUACAAUCUAGUAUAUAUUGGAAAGUGGCUUAAUUACCUUAUUAUGCUUUCUCUAAGUGGCAACUCUGAAAUCCAAAUAAUGAAACUAUAGAGGAACGAUAUACAUGCUGUUAGACACUAAUGUUUAGAAUAUUUCUUCCAUAAUAAUAAUUGUAGGAUGUUCCUUUUUAUACUGAAACCUCAUCAAUCAAUCUAUGGUGUAAACAUGAACCUCUACAAGUCAACUACUCCUUGCUAUUAGCAUAACAAUAGCUCCGGACGUGCCACGAACCAGAGCAGAGGGGUGGAGUGGACCAACUCACCUAAUGCCAAAGGAGGAGGAGGAGGAAGCUCCAUAGUUGCUUUGUCCCGAUCAGCAGCAAGUCUGUCCACCGACCAUUCCUACUUGCACUCCUAUAGGUGAAGAGAAAAACAGAGGUCGGAGAAAGGGGGGAUAGAGAAGAUGAAGCCAUGGUAGGGGAUGCACUCACCGGACAAGAGGUGAAUGACAUGGUCACAAGCGCCGGAGUCGAUGCCCGAAACCCUAGCCAUGGGGGAAGGAUUGCGGGUGGGCAUUAGGGGUCGUCACCGCUGGAUCUAGAUAGAUGGGAGGGCACCACUCUGCGACGGGACCUUGGGUUGUGCUUCGUGGUGGUAGUAUUCAUCGAACUUCACGUGAAUAAGCCGUCGAAGGUCGUGCAACGAGGAGUCGCGUGAAGAGAGAGAGAGAGAGACGGGAUGCGGGAGGUAUUAGAGCAUAUAUCUCCAUAUGUGGUUUUGGUAAUUGAUGACAAUUCCUAUGGACUAAUAGUUGCCUUAAGUUAUAUUUAUAGGAUUUGUCCAUAGGCACUUCUUGAAGUCCAUCUGUUGGGUUCAAGGAGUUUAUAUGAUGACCAAGAUGGUAUUCAAGGUAUUAUCCAAAGAAUGGUCAUAGAGACACUAGGUUGAUAAAUAUCAUGUUGAUAUUUAUUGCUUUAUGGGCUGUUAUAUUACUUUGUGGUACCAUAUUUAUGCCUUUUUCUCUCUUAUUUUGCAAGGUCUAUUUGAAGAGGGAGAAUUCAGGCAGCUGGAAUUCUCGACUGGAAAAGGAGCAAAUCUUAGUGCACUAUUCUGCACAUCUCCAAAUGCCCUAAAAAGUUACGUGGAUUUUUUUGGGAUUAUAUAAAAAAUACUGGGUGAAAGAAGUACCGGAGGGGGGCUGCCAGGGCGCCACAAGCCCUGCCACCGCCACCCCUGGUGGCGGGGGGCAAGCUUGUGGGCUCCCUGACGGCCCACUAGCCCCCCUCUUUUGCUAUAUGAAGGGUUUCGUUCCAGAAAAAAUCAAUCGGGAGCUUUUUCGUGGUUUCGCCGCCGCCACGAGGCGGAACUUGAGCAGAUCCAAUCUAGAGCUCCGGCAGGACGAUCCUGCCGGGGAAACUUCCCUCCCGGAGGGGGGAAUCGUCGCCAUCGUUAUCACCAACACUCCUCUCGUCGGAGGGGAGGCAUCUUCAUCAACAUCUUCAUCAACACCAUAUCCUCUCCAAUCCCUAGUUCAUCUCUUGUAACCAAUCUCCGUCUCACAACUCCGAUUGGUACUUGUAAGGUUGCUAGUAGUGUUGAUUACUCUUUGUAGUUGAUGCUAGUUGGAUUACUUGGUGGAAGAGUUUAUGUUCAGAUCCUUGAUGCUAUUCAUUACACCUCUGAUCAUGAUUAUGAUUAUGCUUUGUGAGUAGUUACUUUUGUUCCCGAGGACAUGGGAUAACUGAUGCUGAUAAUAGUCAUGUGAAUUUGAUAUUCGUUCGGUAUUUUGAUAUGUUGUAUGUUGUCUUUUUCUGUAGUGGUGUUAUGUGAACGUCGACUCCAUAACACUUCACCAUAUUUGGGCCUAGAGGAAGGCAUUGGGGAGUAGUAAGUAGAUGAUGGGUUGCUGGAGUGACAGAAGCUUAAACCCCAGUCUAUGUGUUGCUUCGUAAGGGGCUGAUUUGGAUCCACUAGUUUAAUGCUAUGGUUAGACGUUGUCUUCAUUCUUCUUUUGUAGUUGCGGAUGCUUGCGAGAGAGGUUAAUCAUAAGUGGGAUGCUUGUCCAAGUAAGGGCAGUACCCAAGCGCCGGUCCACCCACAUAUCAAACUAUCAAAGUAACGAACGCGAAUCAUAUGAACAUGAUGAAACUAGCAUGACAGAAAUUCCCGUGUGUCCUCGGGAGCGUUUUUCCUCCUAUAAGACUUUGUUCAGGCUUGUCCCUUGCUACAAAAGGGAUUGGGCCACUUGCUGCACCGUUGCUACUACUUUUUACUUGUUACUUUUUGCUUGCUACGUUUCACCUCGCUACACAAUCACUCGUUACCGCUACUUUCAGUGCUUGCAGUUAUUACCUUGCUGAAUUCCGUUUAUCAGAGCCUUCUGCUCAUCGUUGGGUUCGACACUCUUACUUAUCGAAAGGACUACGAUUGAUCCCCUAUACUUGUGGGUCAUCAAGACUCUUUUCUGGCGCCGUUGCCGGGGAGUGAAGCGCCUUUGGUAAGUGGAAAUUGGUAAGGAAACAUCUAUAUACUGUGCUGAAAUUUAUUGUCACUUGUCACUAUGGAAACUGUUCCUUUGAGAAGUUUGUUCGGGGUAUCUUCACCAUGAACGGAAGCACGAGGAGUUGUUCCUCAACCUGAGGUACCUACUGAAAAUAUCUUUUAUGAAAUUCUUUCGGGUACGCUUGAGAAACUGCUGGCUAAUCCUUUCACACGAGAUGGAUCUUCACAUCCAGACUUGCAUCUGAUCUGUGUAGAUGAAGUUUGUGGUUUAUUUAAGCUUGCAGGUUUGCCCGAGGAUGAGGUAAAGAAUGAAGUAUUUCCUUUAUCUUUGAAGGAUAAGGCGUUGACAUGGUAUAGGCUAUGUGAUGAUACUGGAUCAUGGGGCUACAAUCGGUUGAAAUUGGAAUUUCAUCAAAAGUUCUAUCCUAUGCAUUUAGUACAUCGUGAUCGGAACUUUAUUUAUAACUUUUGGCCUCGUGACAGGGAAAGCAUAGCUCAAGCUUGGGGGAGGCUUAAAUCAAUUCUAUAUUCAUGCCCCAAUCAUGAGCUCUGGAGAGAAGUCAUCACUCAAAACUUUUAUGCUCGGCUUUCCCAUGAAGAUCGUACCAUGCUUGACACUUCUUGUACCGGUUCUUCUACAAAGAAGGAUACUGAUCACAAGUGGAAUUUAUUGGAAAGAAUCAAAUGCAACUCUGAAGAUUGGGAGCUGGAGGAAGGUAAGGAGUCAGGUAUGAAUUUCCAGUUUGAUUGCGUUAAAUCUUUUGUUGAGACAAACACUUUUAGAGAUUUUAGCGCUAAGUAUGGACUUGACUCUGAGAUAGUAGCUUCUCUUUGUGAAUCUUUUGAUGCUCAUGUUGAUCUUCCCAAAGAGAAGUGGUUUGAAUAUCAUCCUCCUGUAGAAAGAAACAUAGCCAAAACCAAUCUAGUUGAGGAGAAAAUCAUUGCUUUUAGUGAUCCUGUUGUUCCUUGUGCUUACACUGAGAAACCACCAUACCCUGCUAGGAUAAAGGAUUAUUCUAAAGCUCCAACUAUGAUACGUAGGGGUUACAUUAGACCACUUGCACCCCAUGAGGAGAUUAGAGUUGAACCUAGUGUUGCUAUUAUUAAAGAUCUCUUAGCCGAAAACAUAGAUGGGCAUGUUAUCAAAUUCUGUGAGGACUCCGCUAGAAUUGCUAAACCUCACGCGAAGGACAAAUACGGUCCUGUAGUUGGCCUGCCCGUUGUUUCUUUCAAGAUAGGAGAUCACUGUUGCCAUGGUUUAUGUGAUAUGGGAGCUAGUGUUAGUGCAAUACCCCGUUCUCUAUAUGAUGAAAUCAAAGAUGAGAUUGCACCUGCUGAGUUAGAACCCAUUGAUGUCACUAUUACGCUAGCUAAUAGAGACAGUAUCUGCCCUCUGGGAAUUGUGAGAGACGUAGAAGUCCCGUGUGGUAAGACGAAGUAUCCUACUGAUUUCCUCGUCCUUGGUACUGCACAAGAUAGCUUUUGUCCCAUCAUAUUUGGUAGACCCUUUCUCAACACUGUCAAUACUCACAUUGAUUGCAUUAAGGAGACCGUCACAGUUAGUUUCGAGGGUGUGUCUCAUGAAUUUAACUUCUCCAAGUUUGGAAGACAACCCCAUGAAAAAGAGUCGUCUGGUAGGGAUGAAAUCAUUGCUCUUGCCUCUAUUGCCGUACCUCCUACGGAUCCUUUAGAGCAAUAUCUGCUUGAGCAUGAAAAUGAUAUGCAUAUGGAGGAGAGAGAUGAGAUAGAUAAAAUUGUCUUAGAACAAUAUCCUAUUCUCAAGAAUAAUCUGCGUGUUGAACUGCUUGGGGAUCCUCCCCCACCAAAGGGUGAUCCUGUGUUCGAGCUUAAACAGUUGCCUGAUACUCUUAAGUAUGCCUAUCUUGAUGAGAAGGAGAUAUAUCCUAUUAUUAUUAGUGCUCUCCUCUCAGAGCACAAAGAGAAGAAGUUAUUAAGAACUUUGAGGAAGCACCGUGCUGCUAUUGGAUAUACUCUUGAUGAUCUUAAGGGUAUUAGUCCUAUUCUAUGUCAGCACAAGAUUAAAACGAUCCUGACUUUAAACCACUUGUUGAUCAUCAAAGGAGAUUAAAUCCUAAGAUGAAAGAGGUCGUUAGAAAAGAAAUAUUAAAGCUUCUGGAAGCAGGAAUCAUUUAUCCUGUUGCUCAUAGUGACUGGGUAAGUCCAGCACAUUGUGUACCGAAGAAGGGAGGUAUCACCGUCGUUCCUAAUGAUAAGGAAGAACUAAUCCCACAGAGGAUUAUUACGGGCUAUAGGAUGGUGAUAGACUUCCGGAAACUGAACAAGGCAACCAGGAAAGAUCAUUAUCCUUAGCCGUUUAUCGACCAAAUGCUAGAAAGGCUAUCAAAACACACACACUUCUGCUUUCUAGACGGUUAUUCAGGUUUCUCACAAAUACCCGUUGCACAAUCUGAUCAGGAGAAAACCACUUUCACCUGCCCCUUCGGUACCUUUGCUUAUAGACGUAUGCCUUUUGGUUUAUGCAAUGCACCUGCCACCUUUCAAAGAUGUAUGAUGGCUAUAUUCUCUGACUUUUGUGAAAAGAUUGUCGAGGCUUUCAUGGAUGACUUCUCCGUUUACGGGUCUUCCUUUGAUGAUUGCCUCAGCAACCUUGAUCGAGUCUUACAGAGAUGCGAAGAUACCAACCUCGUCUUGAAUUGGGAGAAGUGCCACUUUAUGGUUAAUGAAGGCAUCGUCUUAGGACACAAAAUUUCUGAAAGAGGCAUUGAAGUUGAUAAAGCUAAGGUUGAUGCAAUUGAGAAAAUGCCUUGCCCCAUAGAUAUCAGAGGUAUACGAAGUUUCCUAGGUCAUGCUGGUCUCUAUAGAAGGUUCAUUAAAGACUUCUCUAAGAUUUCUAGGUCUCUUACAAACCUCUUCCAGAAGGAUGUUCCUUUUGUUUUUGAAUAGGAUUGUGAGGAAGCUUUCGAAAUACUUAAGAAGGCUUUGAUAACCGCACCUAUUGUUCAACCACCUGACUGGAACUUGCCCUUUGAAAUCAUGUGCGAUAUUAGUGAUUAUAUUGUUGGUGCUGUUUUAGGAGAAAGAGUUGACAAGAAGUUGAAUGUUAUUCACUAUGCUAGUAAAACUCUAGACAGUGCCCAAAGAAACUAUGCCACUACAGAGAAGGAAUUUUUAGCAGUCGUGUUUGCAUGUGAAAAGUUCAGAUCUUAUAUAGUUGACUCCAAAGUCGCUAUUCACUCUGAUCAUGCUGCUAUUAAGUACCUUAUGGAGAAGAAGGACGCUAAGCCUAGGCUGAUUAGAUGGGUUCUCCUGCUACAUGAAUUUGAUUUGCACGUCGUUGACCGAAAGGGUGCUGAUAACACUGUAGGAGAUAACUUGUCUAGGCUAGAGAAUGUCCUUGAUGACCCACUACCUAUUGAUGACAGCUUUCCUGAUGAGCAAUUGAAUGUCAUCCGCACUUCACAUAGUGCAUCGUGGUAUGGUGAUUAUGCAAAUUAUAUCGUAGCCAAAUACAUACCACCCAGUUUCACCUAUCAGCAAAAGAAGAAAUUCUUCUUUGAUUUGAGACACUACUUUUGGGAUGAUCCUCACCUUUAUAAGUAAGGAGUAGAUGGUGUUAUCAGACGUUGUGUACCUGAACAUGAACAGGGACAGAUCUUGCAGAAGUGUCAUUCCGAAGCCUACGGAGGACACCAUGUUGGAGAUAGAACUGCCCAUAAGGUAUUGCAAUCAGGUUUCUAUUGGCCCACUCUCUUCAAAGAUGCUCGUAAGUUUGUUUUGUCUUGUGACGAAUGCCAAAGGAUAGGGAACAUCAGUAAGCGUCAGGAAAUGCCUAUGAACUAUUCACUUGUCACUGAACCAUUUGAUGUCUGGGGCUUUGAUUAUAUGGGGCCCUUCCCGAGUUCCUAUGGAUACACUCACAUCUUAGUUGAUGGGAAUUACGUCACUAAGUGGGUAGAAGCUAUCCCCACUAAAAAUGCUGAUCACCACACCUCUAUUAAGAUGCUUAAAGAAGUCAUUUUCCCAAGAUUUGGAGUCCCUAGAUAUCUGAUGACUGAUGGCGGUUCACACUUCAUUCAUGGUGUUUUCCGCAAGAUGCUCGCUAAGUAUGAUGUCAACCAUAGAGUUGCAUCUCCUUAUCAUCCUCAGUCUAGUGGUCAAGUGGAGUUGAGUAAUAGGGAGAUCAAGUUGAUCCUACAAAAGACCGUCAAUACAUCUCGAAAGAACUGAUCUAGCAAACUUGACGAUGCACUAUGGGCUUAUAGGACUGCUUAUAAGAAUCCCAUGGGCAUGUCACCGUAUAAAAUGGUUUACGGUAAGGCCUGUCAUUUACCUCUUGAGCUGGAACACAAAGCUUAUUGGGCAAUCAAAGAGCUCAACUUCGAUUUCAAACUUGCCGGUGAGAAGCGGUUGUUUGAUAUCAGCUCAUUAGAUGAAUGGAGGGCCCAUGCAUCUGAGAAUGCCAAGCUGUUCAAGGAAAAGGUUAAGAGAUGGCACGAUAAACGAAUACAGAAACGAGAGUUCAAUGUAGGUGAUUAUGUCCUGCUAUACAAUUCUCGUUUGAGAUUCUUUGCACGCAAGCUUCUCUCUAAAUGGGAAGGUCCCUAUGUUAUCGAGGAAGUAUAUUGUUCCGGUGCCAUCAAAAUCAAUAACACGGAAGGAAAUUUUCCUAGAGUGGUAAAUGGGAAAAGAAUCAAGCAUUACAUCUCUGGUACUCCCAUAAAUGUUGAGACCAAUAUCAUCAAUGUCAUAACUCCAGAGGAGUACAUAAGGGAUGUUUAUCAGCCUGUUUCAGACCCUGAAAACGAAGAGGUAUCUGUUUCGGUAAGAAAUUGGACUCUGACGCUUUCCCAAUAGGAAAUUUCCUCCGUUUUGGAUUUUUUUUGGAAAAUUAGAAAAAUAAAAAGCAGUCCAGAGAGCCACGAGGCGGCCACAAGCUUGGACACCUCCCCCUACCCCCUGGUGGCGGAGGGAGGGCUUGUGGGCACCUCGUGUGCCUCCCGGACUCCGUUUUCUUGCAGAGCACUCCUUCUGGUCCAGAAAAAUCAAUAUAUAUCCGCCCGAAGGUUUUGAUCUCCAUAUCACGCAGUUUUCCUCUGUUUUCGUUUCGAGCCUGUUUCUGUGGCUGAUCUAGAUCAUCAUGACUUCCCCCAACGCUCCUAAGGACAAGAUCUUCGAGAAGGUCAUCAAUCCCUACCUCACGGAAGUGCUGAAACACCCUCAAUCUAUCAAGAUGAGCGAGGGGAUGUUGCACAUCCGUGAUGUUGAGGGGCCUAAGAAGACCGGAAGCAUGGAGACGAGGCUCGAAGCAAUGGAGCAACAAGUCUUCAAGUGCCAGGGGAUGGUAGAGCGUGGACUCAACGCCAACCACAUGUUGAUCACACAGUUCACUAGCAAUCACAAGAUGGAUGCCAUUGACAUUGGGAAACACCUCCCCAGGCUCUAUGAUAGGGUUGAUCAACUUCAAGGCCAGAUCUAUGACCUGCAGAACCAAAAUUGUGAGUAUGAGUACAGAUUUAAAUCAAUAAGGUUGGCUGUAGAUUUGAGGAUUCCGGUGACUCGUUCAUCUUGCCAUGAUGGAGCACCUAUGCCUUGGCAGACGGAGGAUCAGACUACUCCAACAACUCCACCACCAUCACCACCGAAGGAAGACAACUAAGCAUUGGUAUGGGCAAUCCCCUUGGCUUCUGCCAAGCUUGGGGGAGUUGCCCUGGUAUCGUAUCACCUUUAUAUCUUUUGCUUUUACCUUUGUUUUAGUUCUUUCCUUUUCAGUUUUUAUUUCUUCUCUUAGAGGAAUAAGUCUUUAGUUUUUAGUUUGAGUCUUUUGCUUUUGUCUCUCCCCCGAUGUAUUCGAGCUUGUGAGCUAUAUAACAAAGAGUAUCUGAGUCAAGGGCUUUGCUUUGUGCCAUGAUCAAUAGUAUGAAAAGAACUAUAGCAUGGAAGAUCAUGAGGCGAUCUUAUGGAAAGUGAUAACUUCACUUAUGACACGUAUGAUGAUUGAAACUUGUUGAGAAUAAAUCAACACAGACCUCAGUCAUGGUUGCAACUAAUAAGAAGUAAUAAGGAAAGAGAUAUUCACAUAUAAAUAUAUAAUCUUAGACACUUUUUACAAUUGUGAGCACUCACCAAACUAUUACAUGCUUAGGAGUAGAUGUUGGACAAGGAAGACAACAUAAUGAAUUGUGAUUGCUUGGUUCCAAACAAUGUUAUAUGAUUAGAGAUCCCUUAGCAUGUGACGAUUGCUUCCACCUCAUAUUAGCCAAAACUCCUGCACCAAGUAGAGAUACUACUUGUGCAUCCAUAAACCUCCAACCCAGUUUUGCCAUGAGAGUCCACCAUACCUACCUAUGGAUUGAAUAAGAUCCUUCAAGUAAGUUGUCAUCGGUGCAAGCAAUAAAAAUUGCCCUAUAAUAUGUAUGAUCUAUUNNNNNNNNNNNNNNNNNNNNNNNNNNNNNNNNNNNNNNNNNNNNNNNNNNNNNNNNNNNNNNNNNNNNNNNNNNNNNNNNNNNNNNNNNNNNNNNNNNNNNNNNNNNNNNNNNNNNNNNNNNNNNNNNNNNNNNNNNNNNNNNNNNNNNNNNNNNNNNNNNNNNNNNNNNNNNNNNNNNNNNNNNNNNNNNNNNNNNNNNNNNNNNNNNNNNNNNNNNNNNNNNNNNNNNNNNNNNNNNNNNNNNNNNNNNNNNNNNNNNNNNNNNNNNNNNNNNNNNNNNNNNNNNNNNNNNNNNNNNNNNNNNNNNNNNNNNNNNNNNNNNNNNNNNNNNNNNNNNNNNNNNNNNNNNNNNNNNNNNNNNNNNNNNNNNNNNNNNNNNNNNNNNNNNNNNNNNNNNNNNNNNNNNNCACUAAGAGGACACACAUUCAAACCUCAAAAGCGCAUUACAACCUCUGCUUCCCUCUGCGAAGGGCCUAUCUUGUACCUUUACUUUUUGCCCUUGUAAGAGUCAUGGUGAUCUUCACCAAUUCCCUAUUUUUGCCUUUGCCUUGCCUACCUUCACAUGCUUGGGAAAGAUCUAUAUUCAUAUAUCAACUUGGAGUUGAGAACUCAUUCUUUAUUAUUGUUGAGUUUACCCUUGAGGUAAAUCGUUGGGAGGCAAAACUAUAAGCCCCUACUCUGUGUCCAGCUGAAACUUUGACACCAUGAGUACCACGUGAGUUGUAACAAUUGUGGAAAACAAAAGAGAUGAUUGAGUAUGUGGACUUGCCUUACAAGCUCUUACUUUACUCUUUCUGAUGUUGUGAUAAAUUGCAAUUGCUUCAAUGACUUUGGACUGUUGUUGGUUACUUCUCAGUAAGGUUUUUUGCUUCAUGCUUUGCUUUGUGAAGGAAUUGUUACUUUCCCAUAAGAAUCUUUAUGAUGUAUUGUUGUCGUAUGUGUGAUCAUGAUGCCCUCAUGUCCGUAUUAUGUUUUAUCGGCACCUUCGUCCCUCAACAUGUGGACAUGUUUAUGGAACUUGGUUUUCGCUUGAGGACAAGCGAGGUCUAAGCUUGGGGGAGUUGAUACGUCCAUUUUGCAUCAUGCUUUCAUGUUGAUCUUUAUUGCUUCAUGGGCUAUUAUAUUACUUUGUGGUACCAUAUUUAUGCCUUUUUCUCUCUUGUUUUGCAAGGUUUAUUUGAAGAGGGAGAAUUCAGGCAGCUGGAAUUCUGGACUGGAAAAGGAGCAAAUCUUAGUGCACUAUUCUGCACAUCUGCAAAUGCCCUGAAAAGUUACGUGGAUUUUUUUGGCAUUAUAUAAAAAAUCCUGGGCGAAAGAAGUACCGGAGGGGGGCUUCCAGGGCGCCACAAGCCGUGCCACCGCCUGUUGGAAAUAUAAUUUUUGUUUCCCAUGCGACGUUCCCCAACACCGCCACCCCCUGGUGGCGGAGGGCAAGCUUGUGGGCUCCCUGACGGCCCACUAUCCCCCCUCUUUUGCUAUAUGAAGGGUUUCGUUCCAGAAAAAAUCAACCGGGAGCUUUUUCUUGGUUUUGCCGCCGCCACGAGGUGGAACUUGAGCAGAUCCAAUCUAGAGCUCCGGCAGGACGAUCCUGCCGGGGAAACUUCCCUCCCAGAGGGGGAAAUCGUCGCCAUCAUCAUCACCAAUACUCCUCUCGUCAGAGGGGAGGCAUCUUCAUCAACAUCUUCAUCAGCACCAUCUCCUCUCCAAUCCCUAGUUCAUCUCUUGUAACCAAUCUCCGUCUCACAACUCCGAUUGGUACUUGUAAGGUUGCUAGUAGUGUUGAUUACUAUUUGUAGUUGAUGCUAGUUGGAUUACUUGGUGGAAGAGUUUAUGUUCAGAUCCUUGAUGCUAUUCAUUACACCUUUGAUCGUGAUUAUUAUUAUGCUUUAUGAGUAGUUACUUUUGUUCCUGAGGACAUGGGAUAAGUCAUGCUGAUAAUAGUCAUGUGAAUUUGAUAUUCGUUCGAUAUUUUGAUAUGCUGUAUGUUGUCUUUUUCUCUAGUGGUGUUAUGUGAACGUCGUCUACAUAACACUUCAUCGUAUUUGGGCCUAGAGGAAGGCAUUGGGGAGUAGUAAGUAGAUGAUGGGUUGCUGGAGUGACAGAAGCUUAAACCCCAGUCUAUGCGUUGCUUCGUAAGGGGCUGAUUUGGAUCCACUAGUUUAAUGCUAUGGUUAGACGUUGUCUUAAUUCUUCUUUUGUAGUUGCGAAUGCUUGUGAGAGAGGUUAAUCAUAAGUGGGAUGCUUGUCCAAGUAAGGGCAGUACCCAAGCGCCGGUCCACCCACAUAUCAAACUAUCAAAGUAACGAACGCAAAUCAUAUGAACAUGAUGAAACUAGCAUGACAGAAAUUCCCGUGUGUCCUCGGGAGCGUUUUUCCUCCUAUAAGACUUUGUUCACGCUUGUCCCUUGCUACAAAAGGGAUUGGGCCACUUGCUGCACCGUUGCUACUACUUGUUACUUGUUACUUUUUGCUUGCUAUGUUUCACCUCGCUACACAAUCACUCGUUACCGCUACUUUCAGUGUUUGCAGUUAUUACCUUCCUGAAUUCCGUUUAUCAGAGCCUUCUGCUCCUCGUUGGGUUCGACACUCUUACUUAUCAAAAGGACUAUGAUUGAUCCCCUAUACUUGUGGGUCAUCAAGGACGUCAUCGCAGGCUACGAGCCUGACAUGGAGAAGGAGGAGUUUAACUAGAUUAAUACAGUUCAUUUGAUGAAUGUAGUUAACUGGAUUUACUAAGUUUAUUAGGAAUUCAGUUAAAAGUUCAGUUAACUUAUUGAAACUAUCAACAAAUCAGGUAAAAAUUCAGUUAAGUUACUGAAUUGUCAAAAAAUGCAGUUAAUUGCCUUCAUUACGUUAACUACAUUCAUCAAAUUUAUUCAAUUAACUUGAUUAAAUAUAGUUAACUUGAUAAAUUCAGUUAACAAUGACACAAAUUUAGUUAACAUUUAAAUUCAGUGCAAGGUCAGACCAACAUAAUGCACUUCUGUACACAAAUUACAUAAAGUCAUCUAAUUAAGAGCUAGAAAUUAUGAAACACCAUUCAAUCACUCAAAUUCAUCAAGGAAUUCCUUAAGCUUCCUUAUCGUGUCCUUUGUUUCCUCCUUAUGCUUGAACAUAUCUCCAGUCAUGUACUCCAACUUCUUCUUGUCCUUCUUUAACUCACCCCUUCAUAACACCAAACUAUUGGUGUCUUCAAGGAGUUUCUUCUUCUCUUGCAUUAAGGUGUCCUUCUCAUGCUUCAUCAGGUCCCUAUCUUUCUCUGCCUUGGCCCUGAACACCUGAUGGAUGUUUGUGGUAGAUUUGUCACAUGAACUCUUCUUCUCUAGCUCUUGCUUUAGGUCACUAAGAGCAAUAUCUGUGUUGCCUAGCUGGGCCAAUAUCUCCUCUUUGUCACCAACCAUCUUAGCAAAAUCAAGCUUAAAAAACCGCAGCUCUUUCUCCAUCCUUUCCUUCUCUCUUAGGAUCCGGAAGUUUUCUUCGGCAUUAACUACAUUCUGCCACAACCUCAGACUGUUCUCAUCAUCAAACAUGACCGAGAUCCUAGCUAAACUCAUCUUCAAAGGGGCAGGUCACUCGGGAUCAAUCCACUGCACAAACGUGCACUUAGGUCCUUCCUAGCAAUUCAGACAAAAAAAAUAGGAUGUUCACAAGGAACAAAAUUUAGUAGAUUACAAUAACUAAGCAAAUUCAGUUAACUACAUUUGUUGAGUUAACUACAUGAACAAAUUUAGCUAAUUGCAUUUCUUCAGUUAACAACAUGGUAACAUUUAGUUAACUUUUUAUUGUAACAAAUUUCAGAUAAAACAACUAAAGUUAAUGCAUAAAAAACUAAAACACCUUAGGGGUACUAAAUUUAUUCAGUUCACUCAAAAGGAACAAACCUUUUUGCACAACCUAAGAAUCUCCUGCCACUAUCCAUUGACCCAAAGGCCACAAAUUUCUCACACACAGCAAGGUGUUCACAUCUAGCAGGUAGAUCUGUAGCCAACUCUAUCCCUUCCAAGCAAAAAAUAGUGGCGGGUGGCUAAACAAAAAUAGAUUGGUUCGGUAAACCCCCCAAGCUUUGACUAACCCUAGUUGCAGGAGGUUGAUGCAAACCUUACUAGUGACGAAAUCCCCGUCCGACGAGGAGCUGGAAUGGUCGUUCCAAGAAGGCAUGCCGGCGAGCACGACAUCGACGGUGACUUGCCGACGAUGAAUAAAAUAGUAACAAAGAAGGGAGUAUGCGGGGGAGAGGAGGGAGUACGCGAGGGGGAGAGACACAAACAGAUUCCAAAUUUUACAACACCAGAUUAAUUCAGCUAUUGUGUACUACGGGUAGAUUUGAGUAAAUAGCAGGGGGAAAGUGCAAAAACACAGUGAUUGAUGGUCCCAGCCACGCUGGAUCCAUUUGGAAGCUCUUGAUUGUCUUAGGACUAAACUUGCACCUCCUAUGCAAGUUCCAGGACUAGUCAGUCCACUUUCACAAGUUCUAGGACUAAACCAUCACAUGCCGCACAAGUUCUAGGACAUGCGGUGCAAUUACCUCUUUUUUCUUUCCUCCCUUCCCAUUUCUCAUGUACUCCUAGCUGAAAGCGACUCAAAAAAAUUCCUGAACAAAGAUUUCACAUAAGUUGAAUUGGACGUUAGCGCUGAGACUGCACCGAUCACAGUGAGGCGCAGGCAUGAUGGCUAGGCUUGGAUGAGAAUAACCACGAGUCGGGGACGACGUUGCGGUGGUGUCCUGGUCAAAGGGAGUUUGAUGGUUGACGGUUCGUGUGUGUGUGGUGGGGGCACACUGGAGAAAAUCCUAUGACGUCAAGGUUUAGGGAGAGCCUCUAGCCACAGGGGCNACCUGAUGUGCAAAUUUAGUCCAGAGUCAAUCAUAGCGUGCCAACUCGCGCCAGCUAGAUCGGGUGGGUCAACUCUUCUCUAUAUGCAAAGACCCCCAUGGAUUAAUGCUUAAUUAACCCGAAGUCCACCGUUGGCAACACGUGAAUUAAUUAUGUCAAGGCUAACUCCUGUAGAUCCACACGCUCAUCCAUUCAUCCCCUCCUUCCAGUGUCUUCCUGUCGGAGCAGCAGGAGCCACUGCUGUUGUCACCUCACAUGGCGUCAUCGGAGUUCUUUGCCGACGGUCGGGAGCCGCCUCCCUUAGCUCACCUAGUGCAGCCGCACUCUGUUUCCCCCUGACUAUGGUAAUUUCUACUUUGCUUUGCUCCUCCUCCCCCCGUGCUGCGCUGCCCCUCCUCGCCUCCUCACCCCGUGCUCUACUCUAUGGAUUUGUGGUAGGUUCAUGGAUUUGUUGUGUUGAGAUGUUGGUACAGUGUCUCCCUAGUAUUGAAGUUAGGUUUUUGAGCUAUGGAUUUAGGUUGGGGUUUUGUGGAGCAAAACUGUGUGUUUCUGCCUUGGAGUUAUUGCUUCCACGUGCAAGGAAUAUCUUAUCCAAAUCAGUGUCAUGGAUGUAUUCUUAGGUUUUUUUCCAUAGAUCUAGUGACAACACCUGUUGCUGUUGCUACUCAGAUUUAGUUGCUACAAAACUAAACAUUGGUAUUACAUGUGUUUCUUUAGUUAGGUGUUCAGUUCAUAACUUCAGUUAGAUGUUAAAAAUUUAGUUAGGUGUUAAAAUUGAGUUUAGUGUUAAAAAUUGAGUUUAGUGUUAAAAAUUUAGUUAGGCAUUUAUUUGGAUGAAGUAUGGUGUUUUGUGCUUAUAAUCGACCUUUAACUUAAUUUAUGGAUUAUUUGGAUGCACUGUAUGAUUCAACAAUGGGAAGAAGUGUUGAUACUCCUUUUUUACACUAGAAGUCCUGCAUGGUGGACUUCUCUUAGGAGCAGUCAAUGAAAUGGAGUACUAUAACUCUUCUGUGGAGGUGUUGGACUAUCUUGAUGUUGACACAUUUUCAUAUGCAGUACUAGAAGAGCACCUAAUAUGGUUGGGAUAUCCUUUGAAUCAACAUGUCAUCUAUUGGUGUUUAUGAGACAAACAAUUUCGGAUGGCAUGGUGAGAAUUACACGUGAUGAGGAUCUGAAGCAACUGAUCACAACUAGUGUUAAGCAUAAAGUGCUUGUAGUAAUGGUUGACCAUACAUACUUCAUCAGUAAUUUCACGCAAGAUUUGAUAUUGAAGGAACCAUUAAUUCCAAGCCCUAUCAGAGUGGCCAAUGGUACAGUUGUUGCAGCAAGUUUAACAUCUACUCACAUCAUCAUUUAUGUCAAUGUUAAAUAUCCAAUUUCUUAGGCUGCAAAAGCAGAGAAUUUGAAUGGUGUUGUAGAGAAAAAAAGUGCCUUUUGAUGUUGCAGAGACAAAUGUGCUUUCUGAUGGUGCAUCUCCAAAUUUGGUGAGUCAUGCUGCCCAGCCAAAUUUGUUGACUGACAUAGCAUAUCAAAAUUUGCAGACUGAAGAUGUGUUACUCUCAGAUACAGAUUAUAGUGAUAAUGAUUUUUAAAUGGAUGGUGGAGAUGAUUAUCUUUAUGAAGAAAACAUUGACUAUGAUGUUAAUGAAGAGGCUGAGCAAGAGGUGGAAGAGGUUGAGCGAUACUAUUUACUUGAAGAUGAAGAUCUCAACCUCUCCAUUGAAGACCAAGAGCAACUUAAGUACAAGUUCAAACUUUCAAUUCCAAGGUGGACAUGCAAUCACCUGUCUUUAACUUGGACAUGGUAUUUGCUGAUGUGGUUGAGCUAAGGAAAUCUCAUACUGCAUAUGCAAUAAGAAAAAGAGUGCAUAUCAAGAAGGUGAAGAAUGACAAGAUAAGAUUAGAGGCAGUUUGUGAGAGAGGUUUCCCAUGGCUGCUCAAGGGUGGCAAUGAUAAUAGGAUUGGAGGAUUUGUCAUCAAGGCCUACAACCCAUUGCAUAUGUGCCGGAAGAAAUGGAAGUUAAAGGAUUUGAAAGCUAAAUUCACGUGCAAGACAUUCAUUGAUGAAUUCGGAGAUGACCAAGAGAUGUCACUUGGAACAUUCACAAGUAAAAUAACUAAGGAAUUCAAUGUUACUCCUAAUGGAUGGAAGUUAGAUAGGGCUAGAACUCAAGCACUUAAUCAGAUCCAUGGUGAUGAGGAAGAGCAGUUCAAUAAGCUAUGGUAUUAUGUCCAUGACUUAAGGAGCAAGAACCCUCGGUCUACAUUUCUUCUGACAACUACACCGGUGAAAGAUAAAAAAUCUCCAUUGGUAAGGAAAUGUUUGAAAACAUUGUACUGGUCAUAUGAUGCAUGUAAGAGAGGAUGAUUAAAAGGUUGCAGGCCUAUUCUCUUUAUUGAUGGUUGUCACAUGAAAACAAGGUCCAAAGGAGUGUUUCUUAGUGCUGUUGGAAUUGAUCCAAAUGACUGCAUUUUCCCGAUUGCAAUGGGCUAGGUGGAAGUAGAAUGCAUUGCUUCUUGGGAGUGGUUUCUGACAACUCUAAGAGAUGAUGUGAACAUCAGCAACCCUGCUCCUUUCAAAGUUAUGAGUGAUAAGCACAAAGGAUUAAUACAUAUUGUGCACAAAGUUUGGCCAGAUUCAGAACACAGUUUUUGUGUGAGGCAUAUUUACCAGAAUUUUAAUGAGAAGCACAAAGGAUAGGUACUAAAGUAAGAUUUGUGGGCCAUUUCAAGAUCACCAAACAAGGUCAAAUGGAGAGAGAACUGUAAGAAAAUGGAUGACCGCUCCCCAACUACGUUCCACUAGACUGAAAGAUUAGAGGCAAAGACCUGGUGCAAGGCAUUUUUUAAGUGUUUUUUCCCAAAUGUGAUAUCCUUCUAAACAAUAACUUUGAAGUGUUUAACAACUACUUCCUUGAUGGCAGAGAGAUGACAGUUCUUAGUAUGCUUGAAUACAUCUUCUACAAGAUCAUGCACAUGAUAGUGAGUAAACAUGGAGAAUCUAUAAAAAAUGGUGAGGGUAUAGAAUAUGCCGAAAGAUAAGGAAGGAAUUAGAAAAAAACAACGAGUUUGCUGCAAACUAUCAUGUAUGAAAAGCUGGCCAACGAAUCUUCAGAGUUCAGUGUGGUAACUCUAACUACACAUUGGACAUGUGCUUGCACACAUGUGAAUUCAUGAGAUGGUAGUUGUCUCGAGUACCAUGUGGGCAUUCUACAACUUGUUGUAGAGAGGAAAGGAUUGGCCUAGAGACAAUGGUUCAUGAUUGCUAUAUAGGUUAAACAUAUCUGAAGGCAUAUGGAUACAUUGUUGUCCCUCUUGCAGACCCAAACUAGAGGGAAAUAGAAAAUAGUUACAAAGUGCAUCCACGAGUCUUCGCUAAACAGUUGGGAAGGCCCGAGAAGAACUAGAAGAAGGCACUAGAGGAGAAGCUAAAAAAUGGUGUAAGUGUCUUGAACAAAAAAGGUGUUACAAUGCACUACUCAAUCUGUGGGAGAGAUGAUCAUAACAGGAAGGGGCAUUAGAGAUGGCAAGAAGCUCACAUUGAAGAAGGGGUGGAGUUGGUUGAUGAAAACUCUGAUGACCCAAUAUUCCUACAGGUAUGUGCACAAUUCAACUACACCUUAACUAAAAGUUUAACUGAAUUUAACUGCACUUUAACUGCAGUUAACUGCACUAUAACUGUAUUUUAAUUGAUUUUGCACAACAACUACCCCAACCAGGAAGAUCCUAGGUUGGAUCCAAUUGAUUCACCAACAAGCAUGGUGUACAACAUGGCUCAUAGAGAGAUUUCUAGAUGUAGGAUCCGAAGUAUGUCUAGAGGGGGGGGGGUGAUUAGACUACUUGACAAAAUAAAAUUUAGCCUUUUCCCAAUUUUAGCCGUGGGCCAGUUUUAGCAAAUGUGACUACUCAAGUUCACCCUACACAUGCAUAUUUAAGAGUAUAUCAAUGGAAAGUAAAGACAUGCAAAUGUAAUGUAGAGGGUAAGGAAGGAAGAUCAAACACAAAGGUGGACACGACGUUUUUUGGCGUGGUUCCGAUAGGUGGUGCUACCAUACAUCCAUGUUAGUUGAGACUUCAACCCACGAAGGGUAACGGCUGCGAGAGUGCACAGAGGGCUCCAUCCACAAGGGCUCCACGAAGAAGCGGCCUUGUCUAUUCCACCAUGGCUUACGUCCACACAGGACUAGCCUCACUCACGGUAGAUCUUCACGAAGUAGGCGAUCUCCUUGCCCUUACAAACUUCUUGGUUCAACUCCACAACACAAAGUAGGAGGCUUCCAAGCGACACCUAACCAAUCUAGGAGGCACCACCAUCCAAAAGGUAAUAGAUGUGGUAUAACGAUGAACGCCUUGCUCUUGUGCUUCAAAAGAUAGUCUCCUCAACACUCAAUCACUCUCUCACAAAUUUGGCAUGGGUAGGAGAGAUUGAUUUUGUGGAAAGAAACUUGGGGAGGCUAGAGAUCAAGUUUCAAAUGGUUGUAUUGGAAUCUCUUGAUCUCAACACAUGAGUAGGUGGCUCUCUCUCAAAAAAUGGAUCUCGCAAGUGGGUGUGUGUUCUGAUUGCUUGCUCUGCGAAUGAGAGGAGGUAGAUGGGUAUAUAUAAGCAUCCCUCAAAAUCCAACUGUUACAACAUUAUUUCCCAACUCGGUGACACCGAAAUGAAUUUCGGUGGUACUGAGUUGCGCUAAAUGUGGUAACUGUUCAAUUCUCGGUGAGACCGAUAUAUAAAUCUCGAUGGUACCAAUACUAUGACCUAGAGCACUUUAGAAAUCUCGAUGAGACUGAUUCCAAUCUCGGAAAUUCCGAUUCUUGGAAUUUGCUCAACAGAAAGUUGGUCACAUGCUUUCAGUGGCACCAAUGUGAAACUUGGUGGUACCGAGAGAUUAGGGUUUGGCAAAGGAUUUGUGAGUGGAAAAAUCGGUAAGGCCGAGUGGAAAAAGUUGGUGGCACCAAUUUUACUGGUUUGGCUUGGGAGAGAGAUAUUUGUGGGAGAAAUUAGUGAAUAUUUUUGGUGGCUAUCUCUAAGCACUUGAGCAACCAAUUCAUCAUAAUACCUCACCCCCUUUUAAUAGUAUUGGAUUUCCUAUGGACUCAAAAGUGAUUUGUCACAAAUGUAAAAUGUAGAGUCCUCUUGCUUGAAGCUUGACCCAAUCCUAUUCCUUUCCUUGCAUCAUGGAGUUUCUCCUCACAAUCCUUUGUCCAAAUCGUCUUUGGAGUUUUCUGAAAUAUAAUUGGAUAAGAUCAUUAGUUCAAUGAUGCAUAUGUUGUGAUUAAUUACCAAAUCCACCUUAGGGAGCAAUUGUGCUUGCACUAGAAGAGCUCCUCAUAGGGUUCAUGGCCCACUACCAGAGCAGUCAUCCUUUGAUGUUGCUGUUGGGACUGCAAUACCCCAGCCAAGGGUGACUACAAAAAUGAAUAUUGGCACGAAGACUAUGGAAACCACAACACUUGAUAUAAGACAAGGAUCACAAGCUUCUACUAGAGGCAGAGCAAAGAAAAGGGUAAGAAAUGAAGAUGCAGGUUCAGGCAGAGGAGUAGUUAUAAAUACAAGCAGAGGAGUAGUUAGAAAUACAAGCAGAGGAAGAAAUGUAAAUUCUUGGAGAGGAAGUGGGGGAAGAAAUCCAAGUGCAACUCAGAAAGAGGAAGUGCAACAACUCUUGUAGGAAGAGGAAGAGGGAGUGCAAUAGCUCCAGCACGAAGAGGAAGAGGGGCAUACUAGCUUUUGUUUGGAGAUGACAUGAGCAGCCAAAUACCUGAUCUUAAUGCUCCUCCUGAAGAUUUGGUGGCACAUCUUCCAUGAUUUGAUUGGAGUUGUGAGUGCCAUUUUUUGUAAGGCCUACAGUGAUGUAACCUAAUGAUUGGCCUUGUUUUGGUGUCAUGCAUUGACAAAAAGUACCUAUAUUUUGUUGGGAAACAGUGUACCCUAAAUGACAGUUGUCUAAAUUUUAUGAAAAUGAGCUUCUAGUAUAGUCAGGUGAAUAUGCCCAAAAAUGAGUGAUGGUCUUACUAUGCUGUUGCAACUCAAUAAACAUCUAGAAUAUGGAGCAAUGGAAAAAAUGUUUUUCUUGGGGCUCAAACCCAAGACCUAUAGUUUGUAAGACAACGUGCAAUGCGAGUGGGAUAGGAGUAGUGAUUUGUUAGAGUACUACAUUCUUUGGUAGUUUAUCAAUGAGUGUGCAACGUUCUAUGGCACCUGUGCACCCAUGCGUUGUGAACGGUGCAGCGCAAACGUGCGUUUACCAACCAGUUGGCGUUUGGUUUUCCCACUAGUUAAGGCAUGCCCCCACCGCUCGCCCUCCCCACUCCCCACUCAUCUAUCCCAACCACCAGUGAAACCCUCAUCGACAACCAUGCCACCACCGUCGCCAUGGACGAGAGCCUCGGCUGGCAGAAGGCCAUCAAGGAGCUCGCCGGCGACCACCCAGAGAUCCACACGCAGUACACAGAGAUCGCGCUGGUUCCCAAGUGCGCAGAUGAUGAGGAACCACGCCAGUGGCCUUGUGAAGAUGAUGACGAAUGCUGAAAAACUCCGUGUGUUCCCCAACGGCCAAAACUGUUGGAGAUAUGCCCUAGAGGCAAUCAUGUAUGAUGAUAUUUCCUAUGUGUUUAUGAAUAAAGAUAGUCCUUGGACAUUGUAAGUGAUGUGUAUUAACAAGUACGUGACUUGUUUGUGAGACUAUACAUUGUAUGGUAAGUGUCCUAAAUGGUCCUUAGUUGAAAGGGUUGUGUGGACGCGCAAUCAAUCAGACUAGCAUAUGACACGGUGGAGGGUUUGGUCUCAUUGGCCAUGUAGCAUUGGAUGCUAGCCGGAUAAUAUUGACUUAAAAAUAUCUUGUCGGAUUCGGCAUAGUUAGAUCCGAGUCAAGAUAAGGUCUGAGUUGGACAACCCAACUAUGAGACGCAAUGAUAGGUCAUCUGGGAGUCUCUAGUAUAACAUACGUUCCGUGUCCUAAGACCUAAGCUGGCGCAUGUACUCGGGAUGGUGACAAACUUGGUUUGGGCCAACCUAAUGCUACAUCGUGACUAGGUAGUUACAUAGGUAGGUUUAGGGCUUGUCCAGACUCAUGCUACGAGACAUGGUCGAACAGGAUGGGAUUUGCCCCUCCAAUCAGGAGAGAUAUACUCCGGGCCCCUCGGGUGAUCUGACCUGGAUAAGCAUGGCCAUGCGAUGAGGAUUAUGAGAUAAUCCGAAUGUUGGUUGGAUUCACUAGAAUGAGAAAGAGGACGUGCUGCAACAUGGAUGACAUGUUGCCUUGCGCAUGACAACAUAUAUCUUGCGGCAAAGGGAACAUAUGUAUGAAGUACAGGUUCGCCUAACCAACCUCAUCGGACACUUAGAGUCGCCACGCUUUGCUAGAGGCCACUACCGAUUAGCCGAGUCGGAUGUGAUAUGAUUCGCGACCAAUUGAACGAGAACCUAAGGGUUCGCGCACUUAAGGGAAGGAACACAUGGGCUUUAGGGUCCGUGCAAGGCCCAAGAGUUGAGCCCGUGCCGGACGCCUAUAUAUAGUGGAGGUGAGGUACACUUAUUCAUUUGAUCGCUUCGACACCGUAAUUAGGUCAUUGCAUGUGUUGCAACUAGCCACCUCCACUCGCCGCCGCCGACUGUGUGAUCCAGACCUAGAAGUCCGCCACACGGUAUUCCUCCUGCACGCGCGGAUACCAUUAGAGGCGAUGCAGUUGUGCUUCUCCGACAAACCUGUAUGUGGGAUUCGGCGACCGAGUGUUCAAGGUGGAUCGGACGAGGAGGAGACAGACCAUGCGGAUGCGCUGCCCCAACUCUACUUCUGCUGCACGGCACCACACGUCUAGUGGUAACGAUCUGUGAUCCAUCUCCGUAGCAUGUUCUUGGUUGUUCUACGCGUAGGAAAUUUUUAAUUCGUAUGCGAUGGACCUACGGUAGAACCCAAUAAAACAUCCCUUCCGCCACGGUCCUCCUCUGGGAAAUGUGGGAGUCGCAACGGUCCCUCGACCCCGCCCAUCGCACACGAUGGUGGAUGUACCGCUCCUCGACCACACCGCUGGCCCAGCCAGAUCCUGCGCGCAUUGCAUCAAGGGCCGAUCACGUCACCGAUGCCGUGGUAACUCUCCCAGUGCCCGUCAACGCAGUGUACUAGGACCGCCUUAAUCCCGGUGUCCUCGGGCUGGACGAUGACUCCGACGACGAGUCAUCUAACGAGGAGGUGGAGGAGGUCGUCGUCCUCUCUGAUGGCGAGCCAGAGGUGCAGAUGGUCGGGCUGGUCGUUGCUGUUGCGGAGGGAGACAUGCAUCUGCCAAUUGAUGUGGAGGAGUUGCACGAUGUUUCAUAUCUACAACAAAUUGUCGUCGUCAACCAAGAGGUUCACGAGUUGCUGCUAGAAGAGGAAGGCAACAAGAAGAAGAAGGAGGGGAAGAGGACCAUCCCUCAAUAAGUGCGUCGCUCCGAGCGCCUCAAGAUUCUCAAUAAGGAGUGAAGAAGGUAAUGAAGAUCAAGAAGCUUAGGUAUGUUGUUAUAUGACAACAUAUAAGUUAGAUAAAUAGUCCACUGUAGUUGAGUAUGCUAGUAUAUAGCAACAUAUAAGUUAGAAGUAUUUUUCCAUGUAAUUAGGUGUGCUACUAUAUUAUAGCACAUAAGUUAUAUGUGCUAAUGCUCUGUUUCAUUACUAUGAAGAUAUUGCUAUGAAGAUGUCGCUGUGAACCAUUACUACUGUUGCAUUGCAUUGCAUUAUUUCAUUCUGCAUGUGGAUAGAUUGCAUGUGGAUAUAUUCCACCAUGGUGGACCACAACUAUAAGAAGAAGUAGUAGCACUAGGUGCACCUAGGCUACAUUAUUCAGUAAAGAUAACUGAAUUUUGCAUCUAGGCUGAAACAUAUUCAACAAAGUUCAGCAAAAAGCAUAAAAAUACAGUUAAGUAAAAAACACAAGAUUACUAUCAACAUUGAGUUAACUAAAACCAAAUUCAGUUCAGUUCAAACAACCAAUCAGUUAGCUGAAUAAACAUUCAAUCAUAGAAUUCAGCAAAUAAUACAAGUUACAUGAUAGAAAUUCACCUAAGUUAACAAGUUCACCAAAUAAGUCAACAUUACUAAGGUCUCAUGUGGGGACCCCGACUUAUGAGUCGAGAUCGCCGAAUGAACGUGCUCAGUGAUCCCAGAGAUCAAUGCUCACCGAACAGACAUAUGCUGAAUAAUAAGAGUCUUACAUCCAACGUACCGAAAUAAUACAACACAUGACCAAUAAGGUCAAGUUCACAAGGUAGGGCCUAAGAGGCCAAAUCACACUGAUACUACUAGUAGCGGAAAUCUCGGGGCUAAGAGGGUGCCCAUGCCGUCAGCCUACACCAACAGACAUUCUGACUGGGAAGCGUCCUAGUUCGCAGGGCCGUCUCCGAUGACGUACUCUUCUCCAAACUCCGGUCUUUCCAUGUCUGGUCAAUAAUAUAAGCAGUGGCAAGCCAGUGAGGUCUUUGAAUGUACUCGCAAACAGCCCAUGAUAUGUAAUGCAUUUGGUAGGAUAACAAAUAGAAUGCAGUAUUGGUGGAUAGUAGCUUACCUGUAAAUAAACAUGAUCAUGGAUAUGCAACAUAAGCUAGAUGGUAUUUAGAAGAACAGGUUANACACACACUUACACUUGGUUUAUGAGGAAACGACUCCACGUAGUUUAAGCACGAUUACCCAACUGUCCUUGACCGUGGACAUGGCUAUUCAAAUAGUUUUACACUCUGCAGAGGUUAUACAUUGUACCCACAAGAUCCGGGAAACUUCCGUGUCAUCCACAACUCGCGGUAUAUAACAUACCCGAGGUAAGUACCCGAUCAAUGCCUUUCCCCUGACGAUACUAGACAAAGAGAUCCACUCGAUUGGUACCCAGCCCACAUGAUGUACGUCUUACGAGCACCUACUUUGGAUAGUAUCAUCCAUGCGGGGACCAACGGUGUGCCCGGAACACGUAAAAAUGAUAUAUUCGCCCUACCUGGCACAACCCCGUCACGAGAGUGACCACACAUCACUCCCGUCACUAGUAAUGUGGCUCCUUGCUAGCACCGACCAGAGUAAUCAACAAAGCCCAGUCUCAUAAAGGGGUAAUGUGGUCGCAUAUGUAAGGUUGGGACGGUCGACACAUCAUAAAUCUAUUCCCAUUUCCGAAACCACUCACACCAAAAUAUUCCGUGCACCACUUCACCAAAAGUGGUCACCUAACUCAUCAUCACCCUCGGGCAUUAGUGGCACCCGACGGGGUUUUCAUAAACCUUUAAUUUAUACCAUCAUCAUGCUCAUGCUUCUACUAUGUGUAGCUCUAAUUGUCAACAUGAUAUUAGCGUGAUCCUCAUAGGUGGUAGGGUCAUGCUCAAAUUGAAGUGCUCCGUAGGAGCCACUGGUAACAUCAUAUCGAUGAUUUACCGAAUACUUAUGAUCACAUGCAACGGGAAUAUUUUCUGUACUAUCAUGCAAUAUAACAUAUGCUCAAACAUGGUCAAAGGGUUGCUUGCCUUGAUCAGCUAAGUAUCCGGGGUCUUCGGGGUCUUCAAGUCAAACUCCUUCGUCAAAUGUGGUUUCUAUCGUCGUAAUAAAUAAAAAGCAAUAAGUAUCUCACUAAAAACAGAUCACAAACUCAAUUUAAAAAUGUUGCUUAAUUCUGAUAAAUCCAUAUUGUUAUUUUAUAAAUAUUUGCCUCUGGUUUUAGUGAAAGGGUUAUUUUCAAAAUCACUUUAACAGAAGCAAAACUAGUCGAGAUAGCGUUUUUAAUUAUUAUAAAACAGAAAGGUUGUCUCAAAAAUUGUACAAAGGCUGUGUUAAAUACUACUCAUUUUUAGAAAAAUUAUGGUGGAAAAAUAAUAAAAAUAUAUUGGAUAACCAUUUUUAUAAAAAUCUUUUAAAAUAAGAUUAAACAGAAAAAGAAAAGAGGUUGGGGCUCAGGCCUGGCUCGGCCUGUGGCUUGGGCUAGCCUAGCUAGCCAACCACCCAGCCAGCCCAGGCGCGUGUGCGGCCAGGUUCAAACCUGACGCGCGGGCCCCUGCGGUCAGUGGUAGAGAGAAGAUAGGGGGAGAGAGAAGAGCCACCGACACGUGAGACCCACUUGUCGGGGUCGUCUUCCACCUCGGGACAGAGAGGAGGGGAGGCAUGCCGACGACGCUAACGACGUCCUCCAGCCCAACCGAAGGCAGAAAUGGAACCAACUCACCGUCGCCUACGUGCUGGUGGUCGAGGGGUCGAUGGGGAGGCCUUGGUUCACCGACGACGAGGUGGCUACGACAGAGCUGUUUCGGGAGGUUGAUGAACUAGGUGCUACGGGCGUGGAUUAGCUUAGGGAGGUGAUGGGGAAGCUCCCUCAGGUUGUUAGGAUCACAGAGGAGGUGAAAGGAGCGUCGGAUCUGGCCCGUAGCCCGAGAUCAACGGAGCUCCGAAGUGGCGGGGCCUCGGCCGAUCUCGAGCACAGGAGAUCGCUGUGCUCAAAUGGAGAGGCUAGGGGUGGAAUUUAGGCACUGGAGAGGUUGGAUGGAAGUGCUAGAGCGAGGGGAAGGCCUAUUUAUAGGCUCCCGACGGUGCAUCGAGCCGGUGGCGCCGAUGGUUUCACCGCUGCUCGCAGGAGGGGCAGUGAGUGCUUGGGGGUCGAAAUCACAGUAUGCGGACGUGGUUUAGGACCCGCGAGACCCACUGAGAGGGAGAGAGAGCGAGGAGGAGCGAGCACGCAUGGCCAUGGUCUUCUGGUUCGAUCUGGAGCGCAUGGGCACGCGUCGCUCCGGUCAACAGAGCGAGGGAGGAGGGCCCUGGGGCUGCCCUGAGACAGAGAGAUGGCUGGGGACUCGAAUAGGCAUCAGGGAGAGGCUCCAACCGGCCGGGGCUGGCCACCUUUGCUUCGGGUCCGCCUAGCAGCGUGCCCAGAGCGCAGUUUUGGCAUGCCACGUCAUGCUGGCGCGCUCUGAGGCGCUUUGGCCGUGUCUGAGGUGUCCUGGAGCAUGGCCUGAAGAUGCCCAGCCGUCUGGGAGCCGAGGGACUCACUGUUGGCCAUGGGAUGAGAGGAAAGAAGAGAUGCUAGUAUUGGACCAGAACUUAUAAUGGCGAUUUUGGGGCCUUCUGCUUGGAUUCAAAGACGGGCCACUCUCCUGCAGUUGGGGAGUGGUUCUGACUGCUUGGUCAAAGAGUUUGGAGGGAAGAGCUUAAGUGUGGAUUGGGGAAGGGGCUGAUUUUCUAAUAUGAGAGAAGGUGUCCGACAUGUGUUUGGGAUAGCAACACCUCACCACUGGUGAUGAGAGUUAACAUGAUUAACUUUGAUGAAGAAAUAAGAUACUCCACCAAAUUUGAGCCCCAUUGAACAAGUUUGGCAAUGCAAACUUGAAAUCACCCCCCAAAUGGCAGAUCUGUCCCUUCCCAAGGGAAUGUGGGUUAGAUUACCUCCUGCAAAUCCAUUUUUGGCAGAGACUCCUCAUUUGGGGUGUUGAACACUCCUGCAAAGUUUCAACCCAUUUGGAUAAACUUUGCAAUGUAGAGAUGAUUCAAUUUGGUUCUGGACAGAGAGGGUUUUAGGAUUAUUUAGUGAACCAAAUCACCUUGGAGUGAGCUUAAACUUGAUGUGUCCACUAAAUAUAACUUGGGAGGGUUGCUGGAAUUUUAUGGGAUUUUAUUGGAAAUAUUUCCUUUGGAAAUAUUCCAAAAGAUCAAAACAAAAAGAAUGGGUUUACAAGGUUUUGCUCAAACAUUUUGAAUAUAAAUAGGGGUUGAAAAUCUUAUGCAUGGAAAAAAUAUGUCCUCUGAGUAUCUCCAAAUUUUCUCAGAUUUUUCUAAGGUAGAAAACUACUUUUCCAUAUAGGAAUAUCAUUUCUGGCCUCAGAUAUGGACAUGCAGAUAAAAUAGGAAAAUAACUUGCAAAAUAAUUAUUUUAUGGUUUUGAAGAGUUAAAAUAGUUUUAUUACAAAAUCACCAUCCUUGGGUAGGAGCACUCCCUUGCUACCAAGGACUUGCAGUGCAACCCAAGGCAGGGUUUUGAAAUUGUCAAAAAUAAGAAAAGAAUUUUUGGAAUAUUUGUGUGAUGAAAAAUAAGGUUUUUGAUAUUACUUAAUCAAGCAUACAAGCAUACAAUGACAACCAUGGCACUCACAUCAUUGGUUUUUGGAAAGUUUUAAUAAACUCAGAUUUUGAAAUUACAGUGGAAGUGAGGUGAAAAAAGGGUGUGACAGACCUAUCCCCCUUACAAGAAUCUCGUCCCCGAGAUUCCUAAGCUAGGUGCUAAAAAGGUACGGAAAUUCGGAUCGGAGAUAGUCUUCACGCUCCCAUGUUGCUUCUGCUUCGGUGUGGUUGCUCCACUGAACCUUGAAGUACUUGAUGGUGCCGCUUCUGGUGCAACGCUCUGCUUCAGCCGAGAUGCAGAUCGGCCUCUCAUGAUAGGUGAGGUCUGGCUGGAGGUCGAUGGCCUCAUGAUCAAUGUCCUUAUAAAUAUCUGGACAGAUUGGCGCUUGCAGGCACUUCCGAAGUUGUGACAUGUGGAAAAUGUUGUGCACAUCCGAAAGUUCCGGAGGUAGCUCCAAUUGGUAAGCAACUUAUCCAUGCCUUGCCGUGAUCUUAAAAGGUCCAAUGAACCUUGGAGCAAGUUUCCCCAUGAUGUGGAAACACUUGGUUCCCUUUAGAGGUGUGACACGGAGGUACACCUGGUCUUCGAGGUUGAACUCCAAUUCUCUGCGGUGAGAGUCCGCAUAGCUCUUUUGUCGCGACUUGGCCGCUUUUAAGUUUUCUCGGACAAGAUGCACCGUAUCUUCUACCUCUUGCAGAACUUCUGGCCCAAAAAUCAAUCCUUCACCGGUUUCGGACCAGUUGAGCGGUGUGCAACACUUCCGUCCAGAUAACACUUCAAAUGGGGCCAUCUGGAGAAUGGACUGGUAGUUGUUGUUGUAUGAGAACUCAGGGAACGACAGACAGUCUUCCCAUUUAGUCCCAUGUGCCAAGACACAUGCACGGAGCAUAUCUUCGAGUAUCUGAUUCAGUCUCUUCGUCUGUCCGCCCAUCUACGGGUGGAAGGCGGUGCUGAAAGAGAGCUUGGUUCCGAGGGCUUCUUGGAAUUUCUUCCAUAAACUUGAGGUGAACUGCGUGCCUCGGUCAGAUAUGAUUUCCUUGGGAACUCCAUGAAGGCUCACAAUACGCUCAAUGUAGAGGCUAGCCAGCUUGUCGCCCCCAUAGGCGGUACUGAUAGGGAUGAAGUGAGACACCUUGGUCAGAUGGCCGACGAUGACCCAUAUAGAGUCAUGGCCUCUGCUGGACCUGGGUAAGCCGGUGACGAAGUCCAUGCCGACUCGUUGCCACUUCCAUUCGGGCACGUGGAGAGGUUGUAGCAGUCCAGCAGGUCGUUGGUGUUCAGCCUUGACUCGCUGGCACACGUUGCACUUGGCAAUAUAGGACGCUAUUUCCCUCUUCAUGCCAUGCCACCACAAUCUUUCCCGGAGGUCCUGAUACAUCUUGGUGCCACCGGGGUGAAUAGAGUAGGGUGUGUCAUGAGCUUCCUGUAGGAUCAAGUCCUUGAGUUCUGCCUUGUUGGGUACGCAUAAACGUUUCCCAAACCACACCACUCCUUGCUCAUUUACCGAGAAUUCUGGGGCCUUGCCUUCCUGGAUCUUCUUCUUGAUGCCUUCGAUGCUCUUGUGCCCCUUCUGGACCUCCUUGAUGUCAUCUGCCAGCAUGGGUUUGACUUCGAGGUUAGCUAGGAACCCUGGUUCAACUAUCUCCAACUCGAAGCUUUCCAUCUCUUCAUACAAGGCGGGUAGCCUUUCCUUGAGCAUGACAUUCAAGGUGCUGGCCUUCCGGCUUAAGGCAUCAACCACCACAUUGGCCUUUCCGGCGUGGUAUUGAAUGCUGAGGUUGUAGUCUUUGAUUAACUCCAACCAUCUUCGCUGCCUCACAUUCAAUUCCCUUUGAGUAAAGAUAUACUUCAGUCUUUUGUGGUGAGUGUAUAUUUCAAAUCGCUUCCCCAGAAGGUAAUGUCGCCAUGUCUUCAGGGCAUGCACUACUGCUGCCAACUCGAGAUCAUGGGUGGCAUAGUUUUCCUCGUGCGGGGGCAGUUGCCUUGAUAGAUAUGCCACGACUCUGCCAUCUUGCAUUAGGACUCCACCGAGCCCGGUUCUGGAGGCAUCACAAUAUAUCAAAAAUCCUUGCUGAUAUCUGGAGUAGCCAAUACCGGGGCGGUAGCCAAUCUCUUCUUCACCUCCUAGAAGCUUGCUUCACACUCCGGCGUCCAUUCGAACUUCUUGCCCUUCUUCAAGAGCCGAGUCAUUGGUCGAGCGAUGCGGGAGAAUCCUUCUAUGAACUUGCGAUAGUAUCCCGCGAGUCCGAGGAAGCUCCUGACUUCCUUCACAUCGAUUGGCGUCCCAAUUGGUUACCGUGGCAAUCUUGGAGGGAUCGACCGCCAAUCUGUUUGCUGUCAUGGUAUGACCCAAGAAUCCAACUUUGUGCAGCCAGAAUUAGCAUUUGCUAAACUUGGCAUAAAGUUGGUGCUCUCGAAGCUUUUCCAACACUAACCUCAAGUGUUGCUCAUGCUCUUCUUCAGAUUUGGAGAACAUUAAUAUGUCAUCGAUGAAUACGACGACAAACUUAUCCAGGUAUUCCAUGAAGACCUUGUUCAUGAGGUACAUGAAGUAUGCUGGGGCACUUGUCAACCCAAAUGACAUGACGGUGCACUCAUACAGACUGUACCGGGUACGAAUGCAGUCUUGGGUAUGUCUUCGGGUCGGAUCUUCAGUUGGUAAUAUCCAGAUCGGAGAUCGAUCUUGGAAAAUACCUUGGCUCCAUUUAACUCGUCAAACAAGUCUUCAAUCUUGGGGAGUGGGUACUUGUUCUUGAUCAUGACUUAAUUAAGAGAACGAUAAUCAACGACAGUCUUAUAGUCCCGUCCUUCUUAGACACGAAUAUAACAGGUGAUCCCUGAUUUUCAACAAGGUAUUCUCUACAAGCACUGAAAUUAUCGGUAACAGAUAGUUGUGUGAUAAGAUGAUUCGUAGCAAGUAACAAGCAACAAUAGUAACAACGGUGCAGCAAAGUGUCCCAAUCCCUUUUGUAGCAAGGGACAAGCCUGGACAAACUCUUAUAGGAGGUAAAGCGCUCCCAAGGACACAUGUGAAUUUCUGUCAAGCUAGUUUUCAUCAUGUUCAUAUGAUUCGCGUUCGCUACUUUAAUAGUUUGAUAUGUGGGUGGACCGGUGCUUGGGUGCUUCCCUUACUUGGACAAACAUCCCACUUAUGAUUAACCCAUCUCGCAAGCAUCCACAACUACGAAAGAUGAAUUAAGACAAAGUCUAACCAUAGCAUUAAACUAGUGGAUCCCAAUCAGCCCCUUAUGAAGUAACGCAUAAACUAGGGUUUAAGCUUCUGUCACUCUAGCAGCACAUCAUCUACUUACUACUUCCCAAUGCCUUUCUCUAGGCCCAAAUAACAGUGAAGUGUUAUGUAUUCAACGUUCACAUAACACCACUAGAGGAAAAACAACAUACAACGCAUCAAAAUAUCGAACGAAUACCAAAUUCACAUGACUACUUAUAGCAUGACUUAUCCCAUGUCCUCAGGAACAAAAGUGACUACUCACAAAGCAUAAUAAUAUUCAUGACCAGAGAGGUAUUGAAUAGCAUCAAGGAUCUGAUCAUAUAAUAUUCCACCGACUAAUCCAACUAGCAUCAACUACGAAGAGUAAUUAACACUACUAGCAACCUUACACGUACCAAUCGGAGUCGCGAGACGGAGAUUGGUUACAAGAGAUGAACUAGGGUUUGGAGAUGAGAUGGUGCUGAUGAAGAUGUUGAUGGUGAUGAGUCCCCUCCGAUGAGAGGAGUGUUGGUGAUGACGAUGGCGACGAUUUCCCCCUCCAGGAGGGAAGUUUCCCCGGCAGGACGACCCUGCCGGAGCUCUAGAUUGGUUGUGCUCAAGUUCCAUCUCGUGGCGGCGGCGAUUACUCUCGAAAGCCUCCUCUUGUUUUUUUGGAACGAAACCCUCCUUAUAGCAAAAAAGGGGAGCCAGAGGGCCAACAGGGAGCCCACAAGCCCCCUAGGUGCGGCCAAGGGGGUAGGCCGCGCCUAGCAGUCUUGUGGCCUCCUGGUGGCUCCUCUCUCGUACUUCUUCCGCCCAGUAUUUUUUAUAAAAUCCAAAAUAAUUCCUCGUUGAUUUUCACGGCUUUUGGAGUUGCGCAGAAUAGGUAUCUCAAACUUGCUCCUUUUUCAGACCAGAAUUCCAGCUGCCGGCAUUCUCCCUCUUCAUGUAAACCUUGCAAAAUAAGAGAGAAAAGGCAUAAGUAUUGUACUGUGAAGUGUAAUAACAGCCCAAAAAGUGAUAAAUAUCAACAUAAAAGCAUGAUGCAAAAUGGACGUAUCAACUCCCCCAAGCUUAGACUUUGCUUGUCCUCAAGCGGAAACCGAGAUCAAUAAAUUUGCCCACAUGUUUAGAGAGAGAGGUGUCAACAAAACAAGAUAUGGACAUGCAUGCAUCAUGAUCAUAAUUAGAACAACAAUACCAUCAUAUAAUCUCUCAUGCUAAAGUGACAAUUCCUUCACAAAGUAAAGUAUGGAUCAAGAACCUUAUUGAGAAUUAACAACCAAUAGCCUUUAGUCAUUGAAGCAAUUGCAAUUUAUCAUAACAUCGAAAAUAGUCAAAUAAGAGCUUGUAAAGAAAAUCCACAUACUCAAUCAUCCUUUCGUCUUCUACAAUUGCUACAACUCACGUGGUACUCAUGAGAUCAAAGUUUCAGUCGGACACAGAGAAAGAUAGGGGCUUAUAGUUUCGCCUCCCAACUAUUUACCUCAAGGGUAAUGUCAACAAUAAUAAUUCAUGAAUACUUACUUCCAAGUUGACAUAUGAAUAUAGAUCUUUCCCUAGCAUAUGACAUUAGCCAAGAUAAAGGCGAAAUAAGGAAUUGGUGUAGAUCACCAUGACUCUUUCAAGGGCAAAAAGUAAAGGUACAAGAUAGGCCCUUCGCAGAGGGAAGCAGAGGUUGUCAUGCGCUUUUGGGGUUUGGAUGUGUGUCCUCUUAGUGUGAAGGAACGUCACUUUAUAUUGCUUCCUGUGAUAAAGAACUUUAUUAUGCAGUGUGUCGCUUUUAUGUCUUCCUCAUCACAGGUUCGUACAAAGCUUAUUUUUCACACACUAAUAGAUCAUACAUAUUUAGGGAGCAAUUUGUAUUGCUUGCACCGAUGACAACUUACUUGAGGGAUCUUAUUCAAUCCAUAGGUAGGUAUGGUGGACUCUCAUGGCAAAACCGGGUUGAAGGUUUAUGGAUGCACAAGUAGUAUCUCUACUUAGUGCGGAAGUUUUGGCUAAUAUGAGGUGGAAGCAAUCGUCACAUGCUAAGGGAUCUCUAGUCAUAUAACAUUGUUUGGAACCAAGCAAACAUAAUUCAUUAUGUUGUCUUCCUUGUCCAACAUCUACUUCUAAGCAUGUAAUAGUUCAAUGAGUGUUCACAAUCAUAGAUGGUGCCCAAGAUGAUAUAUUUAUAUGUGAGCCUCUCUUUCUUUAUUACUUCCUAUUAAUUGCAGCAAUGACCAAGGUCUACGUUUGUCCACCCACAACAAGUUUCAAUCAACAUUCUUUUUAUAUGUGAAGCCAUCACUUCCCAUAAGAUCAUUACAUGAUCUUUCAUGCUUUUGUUCUUUCAUCAUUCUUUUCUUUUAGAUCAUGGCUUGAGGCAAGACCCUUAACUAAAACACUCUUUAUUAUAUGACUCACAAGCUCGAAUAUAUCGGGGGUGACACAAAGCAAAACUCAAGCCUAAAACACUAAGAACUUUAUUCUACUAGAGAAAGAUAAAACCAAAAAGGAUCAAACUAAGAAAUGGUAAAGGCAAAAUAUGUGAUGAUGAUACGUUACCAGGGAAACUCCCCCAAGCUUGGCACAAGCCAAGGGGAUUUCCCAUACCCGUGCUUAGUUGUCUUCCUUUGAAGGUGAUGGUGGUGGAGUUGUCUUGUCUUUUGAUUCCAAGUGGACCAUCAAUCUUUGAUUUAGACCCUUUAGCUCUGUGAUAUGUUUCUCCAGCAAAACAACUUCACAUAACCUCAAGAGCUCGAUCAAGGAUGGAGGUAAAAGGUGGAGGUAGGGUUGAAGAAAAUCCUCUUCCUCAGCUUCUUCCUUGUUAAGUACAUAUUCCCCUUCGUCCAACUCCGGAUUCUUCUGCUUACUUUUGCCCUUAGUUUCUUCAGGUAGCUUUUCCUUGGCCUCCAUGACCUCCAUUCUUUUCAGAUCAACAUUUACUUCUUCAUAGACUUGAGGGAGAUCGUUCUCCCCUACAGAUUCCCGAGACGACAUCUUGCUCUAAAUCUGCGGCAGAAACAAGCUCGAAACGAAAAGAGAGGAUAAUUGCGUGAUACGAGGGUGAUACGUCUCCAACGUAUCUAUAAUUUUUGAUGGUUCCAUGCUAUUAUCUUGUCAAACUUUGGAUGUUUUGUAUGCAUUUUAUAUCUUUUUUGGGACUAACUUAUUAACUCAGUGCCAAGUGCCAGUUCCUGUUUUUUCCGUGUUUUCGACCUUUUUCAGAGGAGAAUAUUAAACAGAGUCCAAAUGGAAUAAAACUUCUGAAAAGAUUUUUUCCGGAACAGAAGAUAUGUAGGGAGCUUGAGAACCAAGGCAAAGGGCCACAAGCCCCCUAGCUGCGGCCUUGGGGGCGCCUAGCAGGCUUGUGGGCCCCCUGUGGCUCCUUUGCUCUACUUCUUGCGCCUAUAAAUCCCCGAAAAAUCUGAAACCAUGGGAGGGAGCCACGAAAAUACUUUUCCGCCGCCGCAAGCUUCUGUCUCCGCAAGAUCCCAUCUGGGGCACGUUCUGGUGCCCUGCCGGAGGGGGAUCCGGACACGGAGGGCUUGUUCAUCAACGCCAUUGCCUCUCGAUGAUGCGUGAGUAGUUCACCAUAGACCUUCGGGUCCAUAGCUAGUAGCUAGAUGGCUUCUUCUCUCUCUUUGAUCUUCAAUACAAAGUUCUCCAUGAUGUUCAUGGAGAUCUAUCCGAUGUAAUCUUCUUUUGCGGUGUGUUUGUUGAGAUAUUAUGAAUUGUGGAUUUAUGAUCAGAUUAUCUAUGAAUCUUAUUUGAGUUUCUUCUGAUCUCUUAUAUGCAUGAUUUCAUAUCCUUGUAAUUCUCUUCGAGUUGUGGGUUUCGUUCGGCCAACUUGAUGAAUAAUUCUUGCAAUGGGAGAAGUGCUUGGUUUUGGGUUCAUACCGUGCGGUGACCUCACCCAGUGAUAGAAGGGGUAGCGAGGCACGCAUCAUGGUGUUCCCAUCAAGGUAAAAAGAUGGGGUUUNGCCCUACACUUUUACUUUGUUGCACUUUCAGCCUUCAGAUAUCACCAUGCAAUCAAUCGUGAAGGGAUUGACAACCCCUUUGUAGCGUUGGGUGCAAGUUUGCUGUUUUU